CGAGGCCUACUGCGACGGCAAAUACAACGUGGUGGCGCGCUCCCCGGGGGAGCCCGACGCCACCAAGUUCGACGUCCACUUCUCCUCCAUCUUCGCGCCCUGGCACCGGAUGUACAUCUACUUCUUCGAGGGCAUCCUCGGCGAGCUCGUCGGCGACCCGGCAUUCGGCCUGCCCUACUGGAACUGGGACGCCCCCGCGGGGAUGAUGCUGCCCGCCGCGUUCACCAAUCCGGACUCGCCGCUCUACGACGCCAACCGCAAGCCGGAGAACGAACGUGGCGCCUUCAUCGACCUCAGCCUCUCGCCCAAGGUCAAGUCCGAUCCUAACAAGUUCAAAGACGACCUUCUCGGCCUCAUCGACAGCAACCUCUGCGCCAUGUACCGUCAGGUACGUCCUUGCUCGCCGCUUAUUUAGUUAACUCGCUUUAAUUUGCUAACAACCGUCUAUCCAGUCAUUGAGAUUCGUGCAAAAUUCUUCUUCUUCUUCUUCUUCUUUCAGAUGAACGUGAAAGAGCCGGUAGAUUUCCACGGCGGCUAUCCGUCGAGAACGACAAAGCCCCCCGUAGGAUCGCUGGAGACGGGGGCGCACACGGCGGCGCACAUCUGGGUGGGGGAGCACAUGGGGAAUCUCAAGACGGCGGCGCGCGACCCCGUCUUCUACUCCAACCACUCCAACGUGGACCGCAUGUGGCACCUCUGGAGCACCAAGCUCGGGAACCAUGAGGACCUGACCAACGACCAGUGGCUCAACACCAACUUCGUCUUCUACGACGAGACCAAGCGGCCCGUGCGCAUCGCCGUCCGCGACGUCCUCGAUGCCGAGAAGCAGCUCGGGUACACGUACGAGGAGAAGAAGAGCCUCGAGUGGAUGGAGAGGCGAAUCAAGCCGGCGGCCAUCAAGAUCGACGACAGGACCCGCGACGCCAAGGACAACUCCUCGUUACCCUUGGUGCUCAAGAAGGGCAGGAUGGAGUACCUGCCGGUGGAGAGGCCAAAGAAGGACGGCACCAAGACGGACGAGGUGUUGGUGGUUGACGUCACGCUGGACCCGUGCGAGCAAGUCAAGUUCGACGUGCUCGUCAACGUGCCCAGAGGCGAGGAAGACAAGGUGGGCCCACAGAACAGCCAGUUCGCCGGAUCCUUCUCCACGGUGCCGCACGGCGGCACCAUGACCGGCUCCGCCACGACGAAGCCGGUCGUGUCGUGCCGCUUCAAGCUCCAGGAGCUCAUCCAAGACCUCAACUGCAACAGGAGCAAGAUGCUCAACAUCACCCUCGUCCCGGUCGAAGGUGACAAGACCAUCGUCGACAACCUGCGCGUCGAGCUUUGCUGAUCUAUCGGACUAAUUAAGAUACAUUUAUAAAUGCGGCGUUCAUAUCCCCAACAUAUCCAGGGCACUCGGAAAUUAUGUGACGACUAUUGCAUGUACUAGUAGAAAAAUAAAAGAGUCCAAUUCUUAUCCUUUUAGUUCAUUCGGCCAAAAUAUAUAUCCUCAAGAGAACCAAUAGAAACGGGCAAAUUUUCUCAAGAACAGAAAAGAAAAGUAGGCUCGUUCAGUACAAUCCUUUCCGGUUCUAUUUGAAGGGAAUGAAAGGGAGACGGGAAGUGCCGGAUUGCAGUUCAUGGCUUUCAUCCCUUCAAGAUGGACGAGAGGUGUGGUGGCGCAGGAAGUUAUCCGCUUGGCCGAUCCGACCUCAGAUAUGAUCAGAUUUCCAGGCCAAAAAAUCUUAUGAGGGGCGAGUUGAACGAACUCUUUAUUCGACAAGCCAAACAUCCAUCUCACUCCCUCCGUCCCGAAAUAAUUGACUUGAAUUUGUAUAAAUUCUUAUUUAAAUCCAUUUCACUUAUUUCUGGACGUAGGGAGUACAUUAUUUAUUCAGAUUACACCUAAGUUUUGCUUGGUGUAAAAGCAUAUAUGAACGCUUCGCAACAUUUCUCGAGUAAUUUUAGUAUUUUCUUCCAACGCGAUUUAUACGAAUAAAGCAAGAAAUGAUAAGACAGACAAUCGAAAGAUACGAGAGGUUAUCUGUAGCAACAGCUUUCAUGAAUUCAGUAGAGACAGACAUACAGUGAAUUCUUCCCUAAAAAGAAGACAUACAGUGAAUUCUGAGCCCUCUUCUUCUCCUUUUUUUUUUUGGAAGAAUGUAGUAUACUCCUUUGACACCGCAAUUUUACUUUGGUCGGCUUGUCGCGUGACUGCCUGGCCCGUGGGCUUAGCGCACGCAGCCUGGGCCGUUCGGUGCGGAGCGGGCAGGUCUCAGGUCGAAAGUGCAGCCUGCUUGGGUUUUCCUCGAGGCCAGACUCCACAUCCGGAUUUAUCCGUGGAGCCCCGAAACCGCAGACACCUGCUGCAUCCCUCCCUGUCGAGGUAACGAAAAGCUUGGAAAAGAUAUCUGUUUGGUUGAAGAAAUCGGCCUGAACAAACCAAAGUGGUGACCUGGCCGGGAAGAAUCUCGCACAUUCCCACGGCCAAAAAGCCCAAAGGUGCCACGAAACAACCAAAGUUGGGCAUGCCAACUUGCCAUCGCCUCCACGUCUCACGCUUUGCCCAGUCUCUGUAUGUAACUUUUCGUUGGACGAACACGUCAGCACCACGUGGACUGACACCCCCCGCGUACGAGUCCGUUGAGGAUAAUAACCAACGGAGAUGGAGUCCUUCCGGUCGGUUUUCCGACGUCCGGCGGCCAGUCUCGUACACUACGUAGAGAGAGUGAUCCGCACGUACGUCCGGCCUGGCUCCGGCGUCGGGUCCUGCGCUGCGCGAACGAACGAACGGCCUGCGUCUAAUCCCGUGACGUGACGGAACGGUGUGCUCGUCGGAGGCUUUUCCACCACGCUUGCUGUUGUUGUUAUCAUCUCCCGCGAGUAACUAAAAACCUACUGCUGUGAAGCUUGCUCUGCAACGGCCAGUUUUAUUAGCCCCGGUGAAUCCAAGCGUCGGUCGGAAUUUCGAGUUGAACACUAAAUGAUGUGUAAACUUAAUAAUUCUAGACUUUAUUCCUCACAAUCCCUCUGUGGGGUGGUUAACUUUAAAGGAAUUUCGCUGUAUAUGUACCUGUUCUUUGGCAGAUCACCGUACCAUCGAAGAUACACAUGUUUUGGUGCCUACUUAGUAAUAACAAGCUGCUCACCAAAGACAACCUGAGGAAGAGGCAGGAAUUAAAAAAAUAGUACUUGUUUGUUUUGUACCAAACCUGAAUCUAUCACUCACUUAUUCUUUGACUGUGUGGUAGUUAGAUUACCUUUUCAAGAGCUUGCUGAUAUUAUUCACACAACUGGCAACCUUCUAGUUAUGCAAUAAACGAUAAUGGGACACUUAACAUGAUCACAUCUGCUGUUGUCUGGACUGUCUGAAAUUUUCGUAAUGACUUACUCUUUGCUCGACACAUAUGGACGAAUAUACAUGUCUUGUGGAAGAACUUAUUGUGCUUGUUAAAGCGCUGGCAACCGCUGUGUCUGAAAAAGAACAUCCAAAUCUAGAAGACACCCAGACUGCGAUGAGCAAGAAGCGAGGAACACUUCUGACGGGCCCUGGGACUUCCAUCUUGGCAGAAGCAAAAAGCCACCAAAGAGCAAUGGAAUUGGGACUGCCUGACAAUCUAUAGCUUUUAUGUUGAUAAACGACUUAGCUGCCAAUUGUUUUAAACCUCGUGCUUGUAGAGAUCGAUGACAUCAAACCCUGACUUGAAAAUCCCUGAAGUUAGCACCCUCAACUCUUUAUUCCCGGUCUAUAGUUGCCAAAACAAGGUAUCCAAACAGGGAUUCGCUGACAAUGCUCACAUCACGAAAUUGCCUUUGGGAUGGUCCGCUUGCAAACUCUGCUAUUGCCUUCGUAAUUAACUAAUCUGCUACCAGCUAUUCUUUUUUUGAACUCGCAACGCUGGAUCAAAGAACUUUAUUCAAAAAGCAACACCCAACAAGUACAACGACGGUAUUAGAACAUGGAGCGUCGUGAUUUUAUUUGUGCUCAUGGAGCCAUGGAUAACCCACCCGCCUAUGUAAGAUUAGAACAACUUCCGAUGGAUACACAGAAAUACUAAACACAAAGAGAUAUACUAAUCCCACGUGAGCUUGAUCUAGAUUGGACCAAGAUGUAUACUAAUCCUACGAGCUGCUGCCGCGAUGGUGAGGCCACUGCACCGGCUAGCAGUUCGGCCGUCGGCGGCCAUGGCUAGCCUUCGGCCGUCAGCGCCAUGGCAGCCUUCCCCUUCUUGCCGGUCUGAUUUGCCCGGCGGUUCGCAUGUCCAGAAUUUCCAUCUAUGAUCCGAAGGAAGAAGAAGAUAUCGGGCCCACGAAUAAAAUCAGAACGGUCGGGAAAGAGGGAGUACAGACGGAAGCAUAGACGGGACCCAUCCAGUCCAUGUGGCUUGAUUUAGUCCUAUUUAUAUCCCUGUUUUAAAAACUAAAGACCGGGAUUAUAAAGUUGAGGGUGCCAACCUCAGUGAUUUGUAGGUCAAGGUUUGAUGUAGUGUACCUCUACAAGCAUAAGGUUUAAAAUGGACUUGAAAUUCUACGUUGUUUUCGGUGCUGCUUAGCUCCUGCUCGUUUGAGUUGUGGGCGUUGGCCUGUAAGCCCUGUUCAUGACUGUGUGUUUCGUUUCUCCUGAAAUGAAACAUGACGAUAAGCCUUUCAUGUAAAAAAAAACGACAGUGGAUGGAUCCAGGUUUUCUUCUUCCAGAAUUUCGUACGCACUCAUGUCUUAAACUAAGCUGCGCUGACGUUAGCAUCAAGUGGCCAAAAUCAGCUAAUCUCCAUCUCCCAUUAAUGUGUUCCCCCAAUUACUCCUGCACACUUCUCUCAUCCAAACUGCAAAACCGCAACUGGCCUUUCCGGCUCGUGGAGGUCGGACCCAGGCCCGUCGCAUCCAACUAACUGUCGACCCCACCUGGCAGCCACCCAUCCAGAAUCGACCCCGUGGCCGCCACGCCCCGGCUCCCCGAACCCUCCGAACCCAAACCACGGUCAAUCCCGAACCGGAACCCAUGGUUACCACACGCUCCGUCCCUCCUCCAAGCCCCACAUCACACCACAGCUGACAGCCCACAUCGGCCAUCUGCACGCCCGCCCACCAACCCCUCUGUUCCUCUGCCUCCGGCUCCAUCCCCCGAGUCGCCCCUCGCCCUCCGUCCAUGUAUAAAGCCGCCUCCUCCGCCCGCCUCCUGCUCAGAUCCCUUUCCUCCUCCGCGUCGUCCCCCUCCUCGUCUUGCUCCCCCGCGUCGCGCCUCGUCGCCUCCAGGUGCCUCGCGCUCUCGCGGCCGUGCGGCGCGUGGCCGGGCCGCGGUAGGGUGCUCCCAGCCUCCUCCUCCUCCUUCACCGGGGUCCGCGCGCAGAUCGGGGCCGUCGCCGCGCCUGCCGCCGGGACCUCCUUCCACCGCCGCAGGAUGGCCACCUCAGGUGCGUGGGUUCGUUCGUUCGUUCCUGCUGGGCGGGCAGGGGUGAUCCCGGGUGCCGAGUCCUCUGCCUCGACCUCGUCGCUGUCGUGUCGUCUAGUGGGCAUCAUCUCCCUCUCAAGCACGCACCCACGCACGCGCCCUGCUCGUGUGCGUGCGUGGCAACUUUGGGAAUAUUCGAAUUGGGAAUCGCGGAGGUUCCAACUUAUGAGCUGGAGAUGCGGAUGCGGUGUUCGUUUUGCGUUGAUUUGGAUUCGAUUAUCUAGUAGCUGGGAAGGAUCGGCGAUUUACAUGCUUUUUUUUUAGGUUCAAAGCGGGUGAUGCGAUGGCCGCGAUGCCAUGCGGAUUUGUUCCAUUUCUAGUUAGCAUCAGCCAUUCAGCCAGCAGAUUCUAUCGGAUUCAGGUUAGCUCGCGCGGUGCUCGAUGUUAGAUGAAAAGACGUGUAGGAUUCGGAUGUGCGGGAAUAGAUUCCUAGUAGCACGCACUUUUUUCGAGGCAUAUGCCUUCCGUAUCUGCUCCAGUACACUCGACGGGCCUCCCUGUUCGUCGUCAUCUUUCAUUUCAUUCAUGUGCUGCCAUCUAGAAACACAGCUCUGCUUAGAUUUGAUCGUUUGUGAUUUGAAGUUGUGAAUAGUCAUGCCACUGCUCACUGUUGGUUAUCUGCCAUGGAAGAUAUAUACUGAUUAGGUGAGGACUUUGUAGUUUGGUGGUGUGUUUUGUAAGGUGCAGGUUCGAAUUGAUACUUUUUUUUGUAUCUCUGUUACGAGGGCCAGUGUGAGUUCAGUGUAGUAGUUGAGAUUAAGUUGAGCUGUCUAGGAUUCUUAUAUUAUAUGCGUCCAACGAGUAUGCAUUACAUCUCCAUUUUCUACAUGCUCACGUAAAACUAACUAUAGUGUCCUGUUGUCCACCUUGGUCUUCUCGGGAUAUGUAUGUUAAGAGUCUUAAAAUGUGAUUAAUCUUUAACAACACUCCAACCUCACAGCUUAUCCAGUUGACUUUGAAGCAGCUUCUGUUUAAACAUUGGUCUCCUUAACUUCACUUUUUAAGUGUCUCCCGACAUGGAAAAUGAUAAUAUACAACAUGAACGGUUUAAGACAUGCGUCAAUUUAUGAAAGAAUCAAGAUAACUGAUCGAGUAUUGUUUUUCAUAUUUAUUAGCCUUUCUUCAUGGCUUCCUGCUGGUUAGGGGCGCGCAGUCUGGUCACGGGCAGGGUUGAUCCCCGGUGGCGAGUCCUCCGCCUCGACCUCGUCGCUGUCGUGUCGUCUAGUGUUCAUCAUCUCCCUCUCACGCACGCGCUCUGCUCGUGUGCGUGGCAACUUUCGGAAUAUUCGAAUUGGGAAAUUGUGGUGCGGCUCCUGUAGGGCGGAGAUUCCAACUUCUAAGCUGGAGAUGCCGGUGUUCGUUUUAUGUCGAUUUGGAUUUCACGCUAGCUGGGAUCGCGAAUCACAUGCUUUUUUAGGUUCAAAGCGCUGAUGCGAUGGCCGCGAUGCCAUGCGGAUUCGUUCCAUUUCCAGUUAGCAUCGGCCAUCAGAUUCUGUCGGAUUCAAGUUAGCUCGUGCGGUGCUCGAUUUUUAGAUGAAAAGACGUGUUGGAUUCGAUGGGAAUAGAUUCCUUGUUAGCACGCACUUUUUUCGAGACAUCUGCCUUUCGUAUAUACUCAGUACACUCGAUGCGCUCCAUUUUGGGAUCUAGAAACGCAGCUCUGCUCUAGAUUUGAUCGUUUGUGUUUUCAAGUUAUGAAUAGUCAUACCACUGUUCACAAUUGGUUAUCUGCCAUGGAAGAUAUAUAUACUGAUUAGAUGAGGGCUUUGGAGUUUGGUGGUGUGUUUUUAAGGUGCAGAUUUGAAUUGAUACUUUUUUUUUGUAUCUCUGUUAGGAGGGCCAGUGUGAGUUCAGUGUAGUAGUUGAGAGUAAGUUGAGCGGUCUAGGAUUCUUAUAUUAUAUGCGUCCAACUUGUAUGCAUUACAUCUCCAUUUUCUACAUUCUCACGUAAAACUAAUUAUAAUGUCCUGUUGUCCUUGGUCUUGUUGGGAUAUGUUAAGAGUCUUAAAAUGUGAUUAAUCUUUAACAACACUCCAACCUCACAGCUUAUCCAGUUGACUUUGAAGCAGCUUCUGUUUAAACAUUGGUCUGCUUAACUUCACUUUUUAAGUGUCUCCCGACAUGGAAAAUGAUAAUAUACAACAUGAACGGUUUAAGACAUGCGUCAAUUUAUGAAAGAAUCAAGAUAACUGAUGGACUAUUGUUUUGCAUAUUUAUUAGCCUUUCUUCAUGGCAUAAUGCUAAUUAUGUUUCUGUUGAUUUCCUCUGACUGCAGCUACUGAGCAUGCCUUCAAGAAUAUUUUGACCAGCCUCCCUAAGCCUGGGGGUGGUGAAUUUGGAAAGUUUUACAGCCUUCCUGCACUAAAUGAUCCAAGGAUCGGUAAUUUCUUAUCUUUCUUUUGCCUUGUCUAUUACAACCUAUGCUCUUAUUUGGGUUCUGUCUGUUUAGUCUGAUUAUUGCAUCCUUUUUUUUUGUGUAUUUGUAGAAGAUGCAAUCUAAGAUCUGUACUAGUAACAUUAUGUGUGCAUGUUAAUCUGCUAUUAUUGUUAUCUGACCGACACAGACUUUCUUCUCCACCCCAUCAGAUAAGCUGCCCUACUCUAUCCGUAUUCUUCUUGAGUCAGCUAUCCGCAACUGUGAUGACUUCCAAGUUACCAAGAAUGAUGUCGAGAAAAUCAUUGAUUGGGAGAACACAUCUCCAAAGCUGGCUGAGAUACCUUUCAAGCCAGCACGAGUUCUUCUUCAGGUUUUCAACUGAAACAUCACACAGAUUACCCUGUUUCUCCAUGCCUUUUGCUUACAAGACUUUAUUCUCUAGGACUUCACUGGAGUCCCAGCAGUUGUAGAUCUUGCAGCUAUGCGUGAUGCGAUGGCCAAGUUGGGCAGUGAUGCCAACAAAAUCAAUCCACUGGUACAUCUUAUCUCCUUGUUAUGUGAAAAGUUCCAUCAGUUUGUUCUGAACCAUCUCUGGUUUUCACAGCAAAAUUAUUUCGAGUGGCCCAUAAUUUAGACCAUAUGUUGCUGAUGACAUCACUAUGCGAUCAUCUUAACAUAUUUAUCUAAGUUUAUUUGGCUGAUAUACAUAUUUUCAUAUGGUUUGCAGGUUCCAGUAGAUCUUGUUAUCGACCACUCAGUACAGGUGGAUGUAGCAAGGUCGCACAAUGCAUUACAAUCAAACAUGGAGCUGGAGUUUAUCCGCAAUAAAGAGAGAUUUGGUUUCCUUAAAUGGGGCUCAACUGCUUUCCAAAAUAUGCUGGUUGUCCCCCCUGGCUCUGGUAUUGUUCACCAGGUAGAUGCUCUGGAUUGAAGGAAAUUUUUCUGUUGGUCUUAUAUCUUCCACCUGACCAACGCCCUGUUUCCAUUUUUGAUUUCUAUGCAAAUUUCAGGUCAAUCUUGAGUAUCUUGGAAGAGUUGUAUUCAACACAGAUGGCAUUAUGUACCCUGAUAGCGUAGUUGGCACUGAUUCACACACCACUAUGAUUGAUGGUUUGGGUGUUGCUGGUUGGGGAGUUGGUGGUAUUGAAGCAGAGGCUACAAUGCUUGGGCAGGUAAUUCUGAAGUGGACCUCUACCUACUUGAUUGAUAUUUCUUACGAUCUUGUAGUGAGAGGACAAAUGCACUAACAAUGAUCUCUUUGGAACAAAACAUUGUUUUUAAUAUCCCUUUGCCAUACCCCCAAAAGACAGUGGCAUUCCUGUAAAAGCAGCCUACAUUACUGUAAUAUGGUAAUUUGUGGAACGUCUGUUGAAGCAACUUAUUGGCUGUCCUUUUGGCAUAUUGAGCACACUAGUAAAUUUAUGGGCUGUGUGGUUUUAGGAACAGAUGGUGUAUGUGCAAAACAAACCUAAUCCACUUGUUCUGUUUGAGCUUUCAAGAAACAAAAUGGGUUGUGGUUCAGUGUCCCUCAUCUCUCGUAAGCAUACGCAUAGUGGGAAGUGAAGGAUUGAGGUACCCCACCAACCCACCAAAACACAUGCGAUUAUCCCAUGAGAGACCUAUCCAUCCUAGGAUAUGGUGGUCCCUUAAACCAAAAAGCUCAAGUUUAAUUUCAUAGUCUGAUGAGUGUUCAGUAUUGUUUAGCCCCUUUUGAUGUACCUCCAGUUGACCAAAAUGGUAUUUCCUUGUACAGCCGAUGAGCAUGGUUUUGCCUGGUGUGGUUGGGUUCAAGCUGACUGGAAACUUACGGAGUGGUGUCACUGCUACUGACCUUGUUCUUACUGUUACCCAAAUGCUAAGGAAGCACGGUGUUGUUGGCAAAUUUGUUGAAUUCUAUGGUAAGUAUUCAUGUUAUUAUAAUAUCUGGUGCAUGCUUUCUUGAUAUAAAUUUAUUCAUAUCUUGUUGAUAUUUUUUCUUUCUUUCGUUCUAUUCAGGUGAGGGUAUGGGUAAGCUGUCUUUGGCUGACAGGGCCACAAUCGCGAACAUGUCACCAGAGUAUGGAGCUACCAUGGGCUUCUUCCCUGUAGACCAUGUGACAUUGGAUUAUCUCAAAUUGACAGGCCGAAGCGAUGAAACAGUAGGUUUCAUUAUUGAGAUUUUGUUACCCUUUCCGUCUCUUUGAUAUUUUAGCAUUCUAAUCCGCCGCCCCGCUUCCCCUGCCCGCAAAUGGGGUCGAGGAAUAACGGAAUAUUGUUAAUGCUAGGGCUAUUGAGGUGUGAGCAUGCCGUAACUCCUCAUCUUCCAAAACUUUCACAGUUCUGUUGCCAUCCUUGCCAUGUGGCUAUUGAGUUGUGGGCAUGCAGUAGCUCCUGACCUGAGUUUUCAAAACUGUCAUAUCCUUGCCAUUGUUUUUCCCUGUUGCCAUCCUGGAUGCUGUUUCUUUCCUGGCCAUGUGAUAUUUCUUGAACUGGAUGCCAUGUGAUAUUUCUUGAACUGGAUAACAUAAUCUAAUGAACAUGAUUACCUAUUUUCAUUUGAUAAUAUAGUUUAUGUGAGUUCUACCUGCAUCAUUAUGUGAACUUAGGUAGUGUUUUGUUCUAGAGCGAGGUGGAAUGGAACGGAACGGUUCUAUUCUUAUAGGAAUGGAAUGUAAUGGAACGGUUCUACUUUUCUAUAUCCUAAGAACCAAACUCUUAGUACCGUCUUGCCUUUUGUUUUAGGUGUCGAUGAUCGAAGCAUAUCUACGAGCUAACAACAUGUUUGUGGACUAUAACGAGGUAUGCCCUUUAUUGGUGUUACAGUGCUUAAAUUUAGUUAUUUGUUGAUCAGGAUGUAGACAUAUUUACAUUCUUGAUUUGCAGCCUCAAUUAGAAAGAGUUUACUCUUCAUAUCUUGCGCUGGACCUGGAUGAGGUGGAACCUUGCAUUUCGGGUCCUAAGAGGUAAGCCACUAAGUAUAUGAGUUCCAUUGUAUAAAUUUAUUCCAAGGGGGAUGCCCAUAAUGGUUUUGUCACAUGCCAUUUGAUUUUUCACUCUGUAGGCCUCAUGAUCGUGUCACUUUGAAGGAAAUGAAAUCAGAUUGGCACUCUUGCCUGGACAACAAAGUUGGUUUCAAGGUAAACCUGUUGGUUAUGUCCGUUGUGACUUCUGCAUUUCCAAAUUUACAAUGUUUGUGUCUUAAAUUAAUCGCAAAUGCACAAAACAUUCCAGGGUUUUGCGGUACCGAAGGAACAACAGGAUAAGGUUGUGAAAUUUGACUUUCAUGGACAACCUGCUGAACUCAAGCAUGGCAGUGUUGUCAUAGCAGCAAUAACUAGUUGCACAAACACAUCAAAUCCUAGUGUUAUGCUUGGUGCUGCCCUUGUCGCAAAGAAAGCCUGUGAAUUGGGUCUUGAGGUUUGUUACUCCCUAAUGUGCUCACAUAUUGUUAUAUUUUUCUGUUUUUCUCUGCCUUAUGUUAACUGCGGAGCAAUACUUUUCGUCAGGUGAAACCAUGGGUGAAGACAAGUCUUGCCCCUGGAUCUGGUGUUGUCACUAAAUACUUGCUUAAGAGGUAUCUUGUUGUCAUUACUAGUUUUAAUGGAACAUGGAAUUUCAGUGUGUUACAUGCAAUGGUAUAUUUGAACCUAAUCUGGUGAUUUCUUCAUGCAGCGGCCUUCAAGAAUACUUCAACAAGCAAGGAUUCCAUCUUGUUGGAUACGGAUGUACCACUUGCAUUGGCAACUCUGGUGACCUUGAUGAAUCUGUAUCAGCUGCCAUUACAGAAAAUGGUAUGUAUAGGUUGUAUGCACAUUGAAUAUUUUUAGCUGCAAGGAGUUUGUAUUAUUAAUUAACAUUUUUUCUUGCACAGAUGUUGUUGCUGCUGCUGUGUUGUCAGGCAAUCGUAACUUUGAGGGUCGUGUGCACCCAUUGACUCGGGCUAAUUACCUUGCUUCACCACCUCUGGUUGUUGCAUACGCACUUGCUGGCACUGUAAGUCCAUGCCAUAUUCUCACACUUUGAUCCUCACAUAACUUUGGCUGAAGGACUUUCAUGGUUAAAAUAUUUGUGUUAUAUUUGUGCUCUUGUUGCACAUUACGACUUGUAUUUAUCAGGUCGACAUUGACUUCGAGAAAGAACCCAUUGGAGUUGGAAAGGAUGGCAAGGAAGUUUACUUCAGGGAUAUAUGGCCCACAACUGAAGAAAUCGCACAGGUAACUGUACUGUAACUUUAAUACUCCGUACUUUUCAUCUCUUUGUACUUGUUGCCAUCAUGCUGUUUCCUGUUGCAUCACAUUGGAUGUUUCUAUCCCAACUUAGUUCUUCUGUUAAACCAAUCAUAACUUAAAUGAUACUCUAACAGGUUGUCCAAUCAAGCGUGUUGCCUGAUAUGUUCAAGAGCACGUAUGAGGCUAUAACAAAAGGCAACCCGAUGUGGAAUCAGCUUCCUGUUCCAGAAGCAACCCUCUACUCAUGGGAUCCAAACUCCACUUACAUUCAUGAGCCCCCGUACUUCAAGGACAUGACCAUGUCCCCACCUGGCCCACAUCCUGUGAAGGAUGCCUACUGCUUACUGAACUUUGGUGACAGCAUCACGACAGAUCAUAUUUCACCAGCAGGCAGCAUACACAAAGACAGUCCUGCUGCCAAGUUUUUACUUGAGCGCGGUGUGGACCGGAAGGACUUCAAUUCGUAUGGUAGCCGGCGUGGUAAUGAUGAAAUAAUGGCAAGAGGAACAUUUGCAAACAUCAGGAUUGUGAACAAAUUUUUGGGUGGAGAGGUUGGGCCCAAGACCAUUCAUGUUCCUAGUGGGGAGAAGCUUUCUGUUUUCGAUGCGGCCACGGUAUGUUACUAGUUGUGUGAAUAUUGUGAUAUCCUGUCUUCUUGUUACUAUUAAUAUUUGCAUAUUAAUACCCUUGGUGUUGUCUGUUGCGGUGUUACUGCAAUGCAGAGAUAUAAGUCCGAGGGUCAUGAUACUAUCAUUCUUGCCGGUGCUGAGUACGGGAGUGGCAGCUCUCGUGAUUGGGCUGCCAAGGGACCGAUGCUCCUCGUAAGUUACAGAUUCAGUGCUUUAUUUCAAUCUUCGUAUUUGGGAAACGAUAGCAUAAAGCAUGUGCUGUUUUCAGGGUGUCAAAGCAGUGAUAUCGAAGAGCUUUGAGCGGAUCCACCGAAGCAACUUGGUCGGGAUGGGAAUCAUCCCACUCUGCUACAAAACUGGCGAGGACGCUGAUUCACUCGGCCUUACUGGACAUGAGAGGUUCACCAUCAACCUUCCUACCGACGUCAGCAAGAUCCGUCCUGGUCAGGAUGUGACCAUCACUACUGACAACGGGAAAUCCUUCAGUUGCACUCUUCGCUUUGACACAGAGGUAUAUACAUUUUAGGAACUCGCUGGAACGUACUGUCAGCCCUGGUAACUAUAGUUAGGAAAUGACAUUCUUGGUUGUGCUUGCAGGUGGAGCUGGCAUACUACAACCAUGGAGGCAUCCUCCCUUAUGUCAUCCGUAGCUUGGCAGGACAACAGAACUAGACAAAAGCACACAUCCUUCCAACCACGACGACAGAACUGCGGGCUCUUCAGCAAGCCAGCAGCAUCGACGUCGAGACUUUUCAUCAUAUAAAUAAACUGAAAAAUAAAGCCGCAGGAGACAGGAACCACAAUCACAUAUCCACACCUGGAGCUGGUGUGCGGCACAGAUCGAUGAACAGUUUUGUCUGCUGUUUGGUUGUGAUGAUGAAAACUGUGAGCGUGUUUGGAACGAUAUUUAAUUGUGGAUUAAAUCGUUUGGUUGUAGUCUCUUGUAGACUGAUAGCCGGGUGUACAUUUCUUUCGUGCUAUAGAACUGAAUUGGUGUUUAGUAGUUUCCACAAUGCCUGGCCUCACAUUCUUGAGUUUGCCGUACGGAGUACCAGGAAAAUUGACCUUGAAUAGCUUCCUCGCACAAACCAUAUGGUUUCAGGAAAUUUUACCUUGAACAACUGGUAAAUUAGUACUUCUUCCGUUCCAUAAAGAUUGGCACUGUUUUAAACUAGGGCUUUGAACUAGUUCUAGUUCUAAUCCGUGCCAAUCUUUAUGUAAAGGAGGGAGCAGUGUGCCAUUUUAGAUUAGUUUUCUCUUGUUCUCAGCGUGUCAAAGGAUGAACCGAUGAUGAGAACAUAUAUCGUGGCAUGAACAAGAACGUAAAAUAUUUUGAACAAGAUUACCUGAAACCAAUAAUGUGAACAUGUAUUAUGGCGCUUGGAACUUGAUACCGAGCUCCUGAGCCAUAGGAGCAUAACAAAAAGCUAACAGAUUUUUAGUUUCAAAAAAAAACAUAACAAAUUCGAACAAAGUUAACCAAAAGUAUUACCCGUACAACAUUUCAAAUCCAAAUGCGGUCUACAAUUAAGAACCAAAAAGGGGACAGAUUUCCCGCUGGCAUAUCAUCGUCAUCAUGUGAUCAGUCGCCAUUACGGUUUGGUUCUGUUUGGCCAACCAGCUUGAUCUGUUUUACCGUUUGGUUAAAUCAAAUUCGUCAGACUCUUUGUUCUGCUCUCAUGGCUAAUUGGCUACAACGAUAAAUCACGGUCGAAACACAAGGGCGCCUGCUAAUGACUGCGGGGGUGUACAGUUCGUGAAUCUAAGUAAUCCAUCAUCAUUGCAUUAGAUCCCCUGUUCGAAGCUUCAACCCUCAAAUCCAGAAUUCUAAACUUCUCUAGAUUGGAAAAAUUCGAACUGAAGUUGAAAAGCGGAACCCGGCUCUACUCGCGGACGGAAUUGUGCGACCGGACCGACCGGAGUCGGUUCCGGUUCUGGUUCCGGUUAUGGUUCCAGUUCGGUCCGACGACCGACCCGACGCUUCCUUUUCUUCUUUCCCCUUUCUCUUCGAGGCUUUUCGAGGCUUCGAGCCCAGCCCCAAACAACAACCUAAACAAGGAAGAAAUCAUCGGCGGCGGCGGCGAUGGUGUGCACAAAGUGUAAGAACCCCUCCUCCCUCUCCCCAUGUGCCCCGAUUUCUCCCGGAUCAACGGAUCCUUCCACUCGAUUUCGUCUAUUUCUCCCCUCCGCCCUGAGAUGCUUCAGGGUAUGCGAGGGCCUCGCCUUCUAAUCCGUGCGCGGUCUCCGUUUUGCAGGCGAGAAGAAGCUGGGGAAGGUGAUCGUGCCGGACAAGUGGAAGGAGGGCGCCAGCAACACCUUCGAGGGCGGCGGCCGCAAGAUCAACGAGAACAAGCUCCUCUCCAAGAAGAACAGGUACCCGUUCACCCCCACUCAAACGCGUUCUUGUUCCUAGGUCCGUUCAGCCCAGUUAAACACGUUGUUCCUUUGACAUCGAGGGCUCUAACUGGAGCGGCAUCUUGCCGGUUUGUGGAGGAAGAUGGUUCCUUCCCGGUCCGUGCCGGCGAUCGGAAUCUGGCUGGGUGGAGGAUUUUGCGGAAAUCGAAUUUUUUUUUGAAUCCCAGCGUGUGUAGAUUAGGGUAAUAGGUGACCUCAGCCGUUGUGACCGAUCUCGCUUGCUGCAUGUUCUUGGAUGGCUGGAUCCGUUUAACGCUAGUUCCUUAAGCUAAACUGCAACUUGUGGAAGUAAACUUAGUCUUCAGUCAAAGUUACGUGAGGAUCAUGUGGAAACGGGAGCAGUGCUUUUUAAAGGGCUAGAAGCACCAAAAGCUGAAGCAGAAGCCCAAACAAACAGGGCAAUCAGGCUAACAAUAUUACCUCUGACAGUUAAACCGUCUCCCUUACCACCAUUUGGGACCACAGAGUCUUCCGCAGCAGCCUUAUGUACUAGGAUGAUGGAACUACAGUAUCCUAAUGUCCGCCAACAGCAUGCAAGGACUUAUUGGUGUGUUGAACUUUACCACAAGAUUGGCUCGUUAAGUCACGGUAGUUACAAAAGGGGCUUUAGGCAGUGUUAGAGAAAAAAUGGUUAUGUCGAUGUUCAUACUAUUAUUUAGGUGAACAAAUCAAAUGGUAACGGAGAGGGUAGGGAUAGGAAAAGAAGUGCUAAUUUUGUGUGUCACAAGAAGAGGUAGGUUUUAUAUGGAUAUGGAGAAGGUACCGAGGAUUUCAAUGGUGUCAUUGGUGCCUGAACUUAAUAUAGGAACACUGCUUUUCUCUUCAUGUUGAAGCAAGACAAUCUUGAAUUUUUAUCGUACUAUCUGAUAUAAAUACCUGUAAGGAAGCAUGGUAAAUGCCUACUUGCUGCUGGCCAAACCCAACCAUCUUCCAUGGUGAAGAAUCGGUCUUUAUUAAAUGCAUGGUAAUAAUGUUGACACAGAGUGAAUAAAGGACAGGGUGCAUCCGCUGUAAAUGAGUUGUUAGUGGGUAUGUCGCAGGAGAUAACAUGUACCCCUCUAUUCCGAUAUGUAAGACGUGUUGGUAGUUCAAAUUGAAUACCAGGAUGUCUUACAUAUCGGAACAGCUGUAGUACUUGGAGAAUAGAUGUGCCUUGGGGUACCAGUGUGAGAUGAAACAUCAGCUAAAACUUGAUUGGCUUACUUUAGGAUGGUAGGUGGUUAUUUCCACAUGUUUUGGUAGUCUGGGUGUGUAAAGUGAACAGUCUCGGAGUUGAAGUGUGUUCUCCAGACUGGGGCAAGGGGUUAUUUACACACAAUUUUCUCUCUUACCUCUGUAGUUUCUGCCUGUUAUUUUUUUUUCUUGUAAGAUAAUUUGAGAGGGGUCUAACUCUAUGCCCUACUUGUCACCAUAUCAGGUGGUCUCCAUAUGGAAACACUAAAUGUGUAAUUUGCAAGCAACAGAUGCACCAGGACGGAAAAUACUGCCACACCUGUGCUUACUCAAAAGGUAAAUAAAUGUCUCAUGUAGAAACAGCUUCUGCAGCUGCGGCUAGUUUUUCCCACUGCUUAUCAGUUUUUGGCAUGUACAAUUUGCUUGCUAACCAGACGCCAUGCUGUGAGCUAAUUUACAUUCUUGGUUAAAUGCACAUAACCCUGUAACCUUGUUAUGCUAAAAUAAAAUCAUAGUAUCUCGCUUGCUAUUUCCUCAUUAAGGAACAGCCUGUACCUGUCCUCAGAAUCAUUUGGUUGCUGAACUUGAUGCAAGUGCAUUCAUGUACUGCAAGAAAAUAGUAUUCUUGACUGAGCUUACCUUAAGAACUUCCUGUAUUACGGUCAUAGCAUUUUAAAUCAAUAUUAUUAUUGAAGCUUCCUAAAUCCUGAUUGUGCUAUUGGCUUGUUCCAGGGGUGUGUGCAAUGUGCGGGAAGCAAGUGCUGGACACGAAGCUGUACAAGCAGAGCAACGUGUGAUGCCAUGCACGCUUAUAAGCCAUCAAUGAUCCCGCUCCUAAGCCAUCAAGGAUAAUCUUGUAGCGACCUGUCUAUGUUUAACUUGUAAGAUCAUGUGCUCGUGAUAUAGCUGUGGCUGAAUAGUUCUGCGUUAAGGGAAAAAACAUCUACUCGUUCUAACAAUUCUGUAACAUUUGUCGUUGCUCUGAAAUUUCAACUCCAAGCAGUUAUAUGCCACAGCAAUGGUAUUAGUUGCAAUUUCAGAUUUAAGGGUUCCAUUUCCCCAGGUUUUCUGUGCUUGAAACUGGGCGGCACGCCAAGGAAGGCUCCUCUUCCUUGCUCCUGCCAAAUUCAGUUUCUUUUUACUUGAAACUUCAUGAGUAGGCAGACAGCAUUACUCGGGAAAAGCAUGUGUGAGGUGAUUUCAUUUAGUCGGACUUUGAGCCAAAAAUUUUAAAUAAGAAAACAAUUCGAAUUUUGACUGGUUCCCAAUGGAAAACGGUGAGAUAUCAGUGCGUGAGAGAAAUUACGUACGAAUCAAUGAUUCUUGUUGAUGGUACAAUUUUGAACGAACAAAGCUACUACAUUACAUCUCAAGAUAUAGUAUUAACUACUACAGCCUGUGAAAUGUACUACAACUUGAGACAGCAUCAACUACGGCUAGAUCAGCCUAUGAGACUACGAAGGUUACGAUACCCAGGUUAAAUGGACUAAUAAACCAUGUGAUUGCCUACUUGGGCUUAUUUCUUGGCAUAAAUUUUCAAGAGUUAACAGUGCAUCUCGAUAUCCGGUUCUUGCGCCUUUAGGUCCUCUGGUUGAGCACGUGACGGAGCUGGAUCUUCUGGCUCUCCAUCCGGGCUUCUAGAAGCUUCGCCUUGAGGCUCUGCCUUUGGACCAGCUCCAUGCAGCCUCUGAAUCCUCGGUUGAGCUGACUGUUCAUCGAGUCUGGUGAGCUCCAUCGCUCCAUGCUCGGGGAGCUCAGUCCCUCGCCCAGCCCAGCGCCCUCGGUAGGAUAAUACAUGCCGCCAUUCGAUAGCCUUGUGUCCGACGGUCGGGAGUUUAUCGGCUCCACACCGUCCUCCUCGUGGAUUUCACGGUUUUUCAGAGGGGAGGAUCUCCAGAGCUUUGAUAUGGCUGACUGUUUCUUCUUGGGUAGCUGUUUCAUGUCUGACAGGUAUAAGUUGCUCAGGUCAAUCUGCCCGUCCUCCGAAUCGUUCCCACUCGUCCAGGAAAUUCUGUCACAGAUCUUGUUCACUGAAGGUUCGCUUCCGUUUCCGUUCCGCGAGAAGCUUGAACCCUGCAGAUCUUCAUGGCUUGUAGUCUCCCAGCUGCUGCCAUCUUCUGUUUCGCUGUCAUCGCAGUGACUUCUACUUGAGUACAGUUUAGUUGGGUUCUCUAGGAAUAUAUCGGCCAUUGGGUUAGCUCCUUGGAUUUCUGAUUCGUGUACUGAAGAGCUGUGCUGCUUAAAGCAUGGUUCACUCUCCUUAUUCUCAGGCUCUUCGCUCGGACGUAGCUCCUCGAAUAUGGCUAGUAUGUCCUCUGAUGCUGCUGGUGGCUCAUACUUAAAUUCAACCUCCUGUUCCCUGACCGAUCCAAUUUCCCGCAAAAUGAUCUCUGCCUCUCGUACUAUAGUGCUGUCUCCAUUGGCAUGACCAAAAGAGGCAACAAAGGCCUCAACAUCCUGUUGCAGUUUACUCAAUUGAUCAAAUUUGGCUUCAAGAGUAAGUCUUGCAUCAACAAGUUUCAUCUGCACCCGCUCUUCACGCCACACCUCAGCCAUCUGUAGCAAUUUUCUGUCCUCAUCCACUUCCUCCCGCAGUUUCACCGAGUCCCGCUUCAUGGCUUCAAUCUCGGAUUUGUGUUCCUCAACCUCCCUCACAAGCUUGUUGCACACCUCUUCGGUGAUUUCCCGUGUCUUCCUCUCAUUGUCAUACUCCUGCAACAGAUUAUUUGCUGCCAUUUUGACCUCCUUCAACUCAUCAACAAGCUUCAUGUUAAUUGUCUCUAGUUGCCUCCGGUUCUUCUUUUCAUGGUCGAGGUCUGCCUUCAUAUCUUCAAGAAUGGAUUGAACCUUCUUGUGUUCUCUCUUCCUCCAAGCUGCUUUCUCCUCCCUCAGUUUGUCAAACAAGCGUUCGAGUUGCUUCUUAGCAGAAAGCCGCUGGGCUUCUAGCUCGCCCACCCUAUCUUGUGCCCGCUGAAGCUCCAUCUGGAGACUAUCAGUAUGACUUUCCACUUGCGGUUUAUCCAUGAGAUUAAGUUGGCCAGCAAUCACAUAGGUACUAUCCAAUUCAAGCCCCUUUCCACUCUCAGACUCCCACUUUGUUGCAUUCUCUAUGCUCGUAAUAGGCAUCACAGCUGAGGCAAGCUGAAGCUGGACAUACAAAAUCAAAUUAAAUGUACUGAAUUAAUUUACAGCAUAGCACACAUAACACCAGUUUAGGUGCACGUAUGUUCUAGCUUUACCUCGUGGAGUUCUCCACUGUUACGCUCCAAGACAGAAUUGGGACUCGAAGUCUCAAUCUUGAGACCAUGUCGGCGACCAAGAUGAUCCUUCCUGAGAAGCUGGACUUGUAGAUGUCUUGGUAUGUGCUGUCAUACAAGUCAAUGCGCCAACAAGUGAGUACAGGGCAGAUAAGUUGCCAACAAGCAGUGAAUAACCAUUGUUCAUCCUCAUCUGCUCACAGUAUCUAAACAGAAUUGCUACAUAAGUAACUAAGACAAUGCAUCAUGCCAAUAAACCUUCCACUGUUUUGUGUCAGUCAUAUUAUUCACCAAACCUGAGCAAGGGCAGUUUCAUACAGCAUCAUAGGUCGAAAUAAAAUCAGCACCAGCCAACAAACUGAUAUCCAAAAGUCAAGACAGUUCAGAAUCAAAACACGCAUUUGUUGCUCACUGAAUCGGUUGCAGCUACUGCAUGGCUGGCGACUAUAACCUCUGUAGAAAUGUUCUCGGAAUCCAAUUAUAACUAGUACUAGUUUUACAGUAAAGUCUAAACCACCUAGUUAGGUGAUAGCAACUCCACUAAGCACCCAAUAAAGCGACGAGGCUCCCAGUAAAACACGUGGAGACAAACGGAUAACUCUCCUGCAUGAAGAACCUUGCAAGGACAAACGUACACUGCGAUUCAAUGCCGAGCCCGGGCCCCACUAGUAGAUGUAGGUGCGGAGGAGGAAAGGGGGGGAGGAGAUCACAUGAGCAAGAUUAGCUCACAAGGAACGCGCCCAUGGCCGAGCGGCCAAUAAAUGUCCUCAGAUUAGCCCCCAACGAUCGAUCGCAACACCAAUAAAUGCGGGGAUCUAUGCUUCGAUUUGGAAGCGCCAGGACGGCGCAACGGCCGGCUGCCAAUUAACUGCUGCCCGCCCGCCACGGGCGAGAGCAACGGACGGACGGACGGUGGUACGUAUACUACGGUGGUGCACGAGCUAGCCGCGCUUUAAUGCUGGCAUUGGCGAUUUGCCCCAGAUUCGCGCCUCAGAUUAGCAUUACCGCCCGGGGGCUAAGCGAAAAUUUUAGCGGUAAACCAGGUAGAUUAGCGCCUAGAGUUUCAAGCAUUCUGGAUGUGUCCGGGGAAGGAUGGUGGUUUACCUCGAGGCCGACGGGGUUGCUGGAAGCUCCGCGCUCGGCGGCGGCGGGAUCCUGCUCCGGCGGCCGCAGCCGCCACACCGCGGCCGCGAGCCGCCUCACAGACGCCGCCUUGUCUUCCUCGCUGUCCCGGACGGUCCACCGAAGCUUGGGAGUGCUGGGCCCGCCGCGGCGAGCGGAGGAAGGCGCGGCGGAUGCAGGGGGCGCGAUGGGGGUUUUGAGGAGGCGGCGGAUGCGGCGGCGGGUGGUCGCGGGGGCGCGGAGCGAGGCGGAGAGCGGCAUUGCGGGGGGAGGAGGCAGGCUAGGGUUGCGGCGGUGGCGCGGGCAUGGGGAUCCCGGAGAGCCGUUGGCGGCGGCGGCGGCGAGAGAGGGAGAGUGAAGCGACGGGAAUGGGGGAAGGGAGGGAGAGGAAUUAUGGAGGACGGAGAGCAGAGGCACGGAUUUUUUUGGGGACUUGUAAGGAAGGUGGAAUUAAUGACGACAAAGGGAGGUUUUAUCGCUUUACAAAAAACAACCCCACAACAAAGAGGAGGGCUGUUUUUUCCUUUUGAAGGAAAGAGAGGGGCUGUUUUGUAUUGCACGUGAAGGACGCUUUUCUUUUCUUUUCUUUUUGUUGCCUUCUGAGGAGUGUGGUAAAGGAAAAGGAGCACUAAUAAAACACUGAAAACAGAUUUGGUAAAGAAAAACGGGAAAUAUACAGCCCUAACGUUCGCUCGUUGGCUGUGUUGCGCGACGGUGCUGCGCGCGUGGGCUGUGCUGCCGGUGCCGUGAGACGAGUCUUGUGGCAGUGCGUGCAUGCAAAAUUUGCAUGCGAAUCUGCUUGCUUGCAUGUCCAUGCAUUCUUUCUUUUUUUUAAACUUGCAUGUGCAUGCGUUCAUUUUUAAUGUACUGCUCCGUCUGUUCCGAUAUUCUUGUCAUAUUCUUGUCCCAACCAUUUCACAAACACAAUUUUAUAAAAACAACCUCCGAAUUAAAAUAAUUACAGGUCAAUUAAUACAAAGUUUGAAAUUCAAAUCUCUGCCUGCGCACUCCAGGUCGCCCUGCGCUCUCCCCAGGUCGCCUCCUCCUUCCCCUCUGCAGGUCGCCUGCUCCUUCCCCUCUCCAGUCCUGCGUCCAACUUCCUCCAACUUCCUCUACAGCGGAACUGCGCCAUCCUCCAGUCCGCUUGUGUCCAGCCUCCAGGCCUCCGCUUGUCUCUAGUCUCCAUGCCCAUACCAAAUCUUAACUCCAGUCCACCUGAAGAUGAUGCUGGAGCCAAUUUGGAAGAUGAGGAGCUAGGUGGAGCCAAUUUGGAAGAUCAGGUGGAGCCAGGUACAGAGCAUGAGUAACUCCCGCGUCAGAACAAAGAAAAUUAUCAUUUGCCCAUAUAGAUUUUGAAAUUGCUCCUACUACAGCGAGUACUCCAUGUAUAAACAUAAAAGGAACACAGAUUUAACAUGUUGAUCAGGUAUUCUGAACACAGAUUUGUACAGGUGGAGGAAGAUGAUCAAAUCAACCAUUUCUCAGCUUAAAUUGUUCAUCAUGUUGAGAACACAGCACCUUUUAAUUGUUUAGCAUGUUCAGAGCACAGCUCUAAAUGUUCAGAAUAUAUUAGCUUUAGAUUGGAGUAGUUGUAACCAUUAGAGUUCUUGUUAUGAAUAGUUGUAACCAUACACACAUCAUCUUUUAAUUGUUCAGCAUGUUCAGAACACAACUCUAAUUGUUCAAAUUGCUUCUAUAUACUCCCAUAGAUUUGUGUUCUUGGUCAGCAAAUUAUUCAGCAGGUAACAGUACUCCAAAUACAGAUUGUUCUUGUUCAGAUUUGUUCAAAUUAUCCAUGCACACACAUAUACACAUACACACAGUUUCAGGUAACAGUAUAUCUACACCUACCGUAAUAGGAGUACAGUAUAUUCUGAACAUUACUCCUAUAUACUCCUACUGUAGGAGUAUAUCUAUAGGAUAUGUACUCCUAUAUACUGAGAGAAGAGAGAAGAGAUUGAGAGAGAAGAAAAGAGAGUAUAUAUUCCUAUAGUAAUCAGAAGAUAGAUGUGCAACAAGCAUAUAUAUUCAGCAACCACACUACUUAGAAAGCUUCAUUGCACUAAAAAGACGUCAUUCUUACUCAAGUUCAGGUUUAAGCAAUCUUAAUUAACAAGUUCAGAUUUGGUUCAGGUUUAAGCAAUCUUAAUUAAACAUGCACAGAGGCAUAGCUAAACAUGUCAUUUGAGAGAGAAGAGAAGUUAAUUCAGAAGAGAGAAGAAUACACCUACAGAUUUGGUUCAGGUUUAAGCAAUCUUAAUUAAACAUGCACAGAGGCAUAGCUAAACAUGUCAUUUGAGAGAGAAGAGAAGUUAAUUCAGAAGAGAGAAGAAUACACCUACAGAAUACUCCUAGCAGACAGCAUGCAUACAUGUACACAGAGAAAGGCAAAGCAUAUGAGAACUUAUCUUAGGAGUAGGAGUAGAUCUUGUAGAGCAGUACCCAAUGCUCCACCUGUAGAUGGUGUUGAAAAAAAAAACUUCAAGUACUCCCAAUCAGAAACUUUAAGCAUAUAUCAUGGACAGCUGAAAGUAAAUGCACAAUCAAAGGCAAAUCAACUUCUGAAAAAAAAAAGGCAAAUGCAACUCACUUCUGUAGCCUCUUCUGGAUCCUCACACUCCUCUGAAUAAAUAUUAUGUUUUCAGCAAGAACAGAUGGAGUCGUAGCAACAACAAAUGGACUAUUAGCAAAACCAGCAAAUCAGUAGAUGGACUACUAGCAAAAUCUGCACCAGAUCAUGGUGUACAUUAACAAUAAUUAUAAAGAUCACAGAGCAUAGCAAAAAUAGAAACAAAAACAAGAACAUAUUUUUUACAAAUGCUACUACUAGCAAAAUCUGCACCAGAUCAUGGAGUACUUAGAGAGCUUUCUGAAUUGAUUUGUGCACUUAAACAGUACUCCUAGCUAAGCUAGAUGAGUAUGCUAAUCUGAAUUUCUGAAUGAAUACUGCACUUCAACUAGAACAAGAACAGAGCAACGACAUCUCAGAAAAAGAAAAUAACAGGACCAAAGUACUCCUACCUAAGUGCACAGUACGUGUACAUCAUUUGAACAAGAACAGAGUACUCAUGCUAAACAAGAAUAGAGCCAACGCGCAACAAAAAUGAACAAGAACAGAGUACCUUGAGCCGUUGUUCCUCGUCCUGCCGUGGCCUGGAGAAGCUGCUCCUCGUCAUCGUGGCCGUCUUGAGGAGCUGCUCCUCGUGGUCGCCUCCUUGAGGAGCUGCUGCUCGUCCCGCCGCCGCCUUGAGGAGCUGCUCCUUGUCGCGCCGCCGCCUCCUCAUCCAGCCGUCGCCUUGAGGAGCUGCUCCUUGUCCCCUUUUCUCGUCGAGCCGCCGCCAGCGGAUCCGGGCUCCUACUCCUCCUCGGGCUGCAGCGACAGCGGCCACGGCUCCGCCUCCUCCCCUUUGAGCACCGUCACGACGACGACCGGAUCCGGUCUCAUAGCCAACGGAUCCGUUGAGAUUCAACUCGUUCUUGGUCCGAGCGAGCUUCUUCGCACGCGACGACGACGAGGAAAAAUCGCUGAGGAGAUGAGAGGGGAAGGUGGAGGGGAGCACGACGGAGAAGAGAUGGACAAGUGGAGGGGAGCGUUGCGGAGGCGACCAGAGAGGAAAUGGAGAGCGGCGGCGAGGGGGAAGUGGGGAGGAGAUCGGGGGAGCUGGGCUUGGGCGGAAUACCUAAGAGAGAGGAGCGCGGAGCAACGCUGUACAAAACGGAGGUUUUUUUUUGCAAAAGUGCCAUCGCGACAAGAAUAUCGGAACGGAGAGAGUAGUUGAUUUCCUAUAUAUAUUUAAAAUGAUGUGUAGUUUUAAUAUUUUGUCAGAUUCAUGAUCCGUUUUUACCAUUGGAAUCGUAUUGACGAGAGCUUCAAAACAAGAUCCUAAUAUAUUAUGUUUCGAAAAAAAUCUAACCAUUUUAUUAUAACAUAAUAAUGCACAAAUUACCAUCCUAGUGUGGAAUAAGUUACCACGUGACAAGUUAUUUAGCACGAUGAUAACUCACUUUUGUAUAUUAUUGAAUGGUAACUAUAUAUAUUAUUUGAUGACGACUUAACAAAUACACGGUUUAAGAGUUAAAACAUUUUGAAUUUUGAAAUAUGGGAUGUCUUGGCGUGCGAUGGUGGCACCCAUCUUAACAUGCGUACCACUGCGUGGGCUAAGUGCAUGCCUAUGCAUAUCUACUUGUAUGCAUGUAGUUUUAAUUUAAAAAUGAAAAUGCUUUAAUUCUUAAAUCGUAUACUUGAUUUACGCUUGGUCUUCAAAUUUAGAUCACAUAUUUAAUUUUACAACAUUUUUAUUGCUUAAAAAUUACCACCCAAUAAUCUAUUAUGUUGCCAUCAUAUUUUGUAUCAAAUUGCCACGCCGACAACUUUAUUAUGGGCUAAAAGUUACCAUCCUAGUUCGUAUCAAGUUACCACAUCGACAAUUUUUUUAUGGCUUAAAAUUACCAUUCAAUAAUAUAUGAAGUUGUCAUCCUAUUUUCUAUCAAAUUGCAACGUCGACAACUUUUUUAUGGCUUAAAAAUUACCAUCCAAAUAAAUAUAUGAAGUUGCCAUCCUAUUUUCAAAUUGCCACGUCGAAAACAUUUUUUUGCCUUAAAAAUUACCAUCCAAAUAAAUAUAUGAAGUUGCCAUCCUAUUUUCUAUCAAAUUGCCACGUCGACAACUUUUUUAUGGCUUAAAAAUUACCAUCCAAAUAAAUAUAUGAAGUUGCCGUCCUAUUAUCUAUCAAGUUGCCAUGUCCACAACUGUUUUAUGGCUUAAAAAUUACCAUCCAAAUAAUAUAUGAAGUUGCCAUCAUAUUUUGUACCAAGUUACCAUGCCGACAACUUUUUUAUGAUUUAAAAAUUACUAUUCAAAUAAUAUAUGAAGUUGACAUCCUAUUUUGUAUGAAGUUACCAUGUCAACUACUUUUAAUGGCUAAAAAAUUACCAUCCAGUAUGAAGUUGCCAUCCUAUUCACCGUGUUAGUUUAAAUUUACCAUAUGGUAAAGAAAAUAUAGGAUAGUAACUUGUGUACUAUCAUUUGGUAAUAGAAGAGUUCGAAAAAAGAUCCGUCAAAGUGUCUGAGUGAGAUAUUAUUUUGAAGUUCUAUCGAUACGAAUCCAAUGAUAUAAAUGGACCAUGAAUUGGAUGGACGAUUUAAGCUACAAAACAUUUUAAAUGAUCAAAAAUCAACUUUUUGUGUUUCUCCUUCAUGUGUGCUUAUAGCACACUUUGAAAGUGCACGCAUGCAAAUCACAGCUGCUGCAUCAAAAAACAGCCCGUGAUGAUUGAAGGCACCGACCGGCCGGCUAUCGUGCAAAGAAGCAGCAGCAUGCAGUACAGAGCUUUGUUCCUUUGGUUGCAUGGAGCCGUACGCGCUAGCUCACUAUCGCGCGUACGCCGCGCUGUAGUGCAUCUCAAAGAAAAAAGCACAAAAGCAAAUGUGGUAAGGGGGCUGUUAUAACUAUUUUACUAACGGGAUAAUUAAUAAAGUCAUUCGUGAUGGUAUUUCCUAAAAACGAAAAAAAAAUUAAAAUUUGAUUUAGGACAAAAUUAGAAUAUCGUAUAAUUUGAAAAGAAGAGAGCAGUCGAUUUUUUUUUGCGGGAGAAGAUCUAUCAACCUCCUUGAGGUGCUUUGCGCCCUUUCAAUCAAAAAGGCUGCAUAGGCUCCUACUAUUGAUUCAAUCCCUUCCACACCUGUCGGAUGGAACGCAGUCCCUUGAUCGGUCUUUACCAACUGGAACUGGAAACCGAUUAACGUCUUCUUUGUUUUGUGGGAUUUAAGAAAACAUAAAUUGUAUUUUCUCUGAUCCAUAAUAAAUAUCUCAGGUUUAGUACAACUUUAUACUACUCCUUCCGUUCCAUAUUAGCUGGCGCUGAUUUAGUACAAACUAAGGAAGUAACUUUGUACUAAAUCUGAGACAAUCGGAGGGAGUAAGAAAUUAGUACGAUGCCUGCCUCCACAUUCAGUCUUGACGUAAUCCUCUUUCGGUUUAGGUCAUCCGUAUCUCUCAAUGCCUGCCUGCCUCAGCCCCUUCUUCUGUGCCCUUGUUGGCCUGCGCCGACCUGGAUGGAGGUUGGUCGACGCUCCCACCGUAGCGAUCAACUAGUUUCGCAUAACAUCAGGCAGCAGAGUAGCCUUUACCUGAGCCUGGAGCAUCAACGAACCCUGAGCUGCCGCCACUUCGGUUUCCAUAGCGCUAAAAAAAUAAAUUUAAAUUUGAUCAAGAUUAUAGGAAAAAUGUGUUAAUACCUACUCCAUUCGUUCCUAAAUAUAAGAUGUUCUACCUUUGUCGUAAGCCAAGUUUAUACAAUCUUCGUACUAUAUUGUUGACUUAAUCAGUAUAUAUCAUCGUAUUAUACUAUACUUAUUUGUCACAUGGAACAUAAGUGUUUCCAGAAAAUAAAACAAGCCAUUUGAAGUUUUGAUAAAUACAAAGAAAUGUGGGAUAUCAUAUUGUAUGAGAUGUGCAUCAUUAAAUUUUGGUAAAACGAAAAUACUUCCAAUCUAGAUUUCUAAUUGUACACCACUCUUUUUUGUGCGGUACACAUAUGGACAUAAUUUUUUACUAGAAUUUGUACGUUUACACAUUGUCAAACAAAAUACAUUUAUCAUUUUCCAAAUAAGUGCUUGUAGGUGGGCAACCUGCACAUGCACCCUGUCCUGGUCCUAGGUGCACCAACACAUUUUCCUUGGCUCCAACUGAAACUGCUGGAACAGCCAGGAAAGUGGCCCAGCUCCACUGCUCCCAAACAUCCAGCAUUUCAGCUCAAUACAUUUAACAUGUACACUGCAAAGUUAUGGCUGAAUUGAAUUCGUUUCUUUCCAGGUCAUGCAAUAGACAAUCGGCAGUGCUUAAUCCAACUGUAAACUGAACGUGGAAUACUGGAAUCUGGUGUAGUGUGGUGAGGGCAUCCUCCAUUCUUCUCAACAUAUGUAUGGUUCUGAAUAGAAAUGCCUGGAGAAAGAACGGCCCAAGGGUCUGAAAAUCCUAUGCCGGUGAAAACCGAGGGCUGACAAGAGGAUACCGGAGCAGUAUGUGCAUACGGCUCCUGGCUCUCAUAGAAACCACUGGAGCAUUUGGUUCCUGAAAGAAGGGGAGAUGUUACCAACAUGAGUUCAAAGUAUGGCUUGUCAGCACCUAGGCGGAUCUCUGUGCAACGUGUAGGUAUGGUGCAGUAGAGAAUUCGUGUUUCAGAUUAUAGAAAAAAUGCUAUGUGCCAGUGAAAUUUGGACUGGGAACACACUGUAAGUGGAAGAAAAUUGUGUCGAGUACUGAGUACCAUUUUCAGUCCAUCCGCUGGUUAGAAGCAACUAACUGCACACAAAUAUGUUGUUCACAUUGGGAAUUCAAAAGGAAUUAUGAAAACUGUCCACUCCAAAGAGGUAAAAAUGAGGAGCUUUCAUUCUCCUUUCCUUUUUCUCUCUUUUUUUUUCUUUAGGUAGCUUAGCUUUGUUUUUCUUCUUUCUUUGGUUUGUUCAGGCUGUAAGGUUCACGUCAUCUUGAUGCUUUCUUCUAAUACAAAAUGACACUCAUAUGUGUGUAUGUUCGGAAAAAAAAGGGUACAAUUUGGGGCGAUAGAUACCAACUUAUUAAAAAAAGCUGAGCUCGAGUGGCAAAUGCAUGGUUUAUAAGAAAUAAAAUAGUACUCCUAGUAGUUUUCGAGUAGUAUUUCAUCAUGAGAAAUUAUAUCUCUUAAUCGUCAAUAUAACCAUUGUGUCUCACAGUUUCUUGAAUACAAUAAUUCAUCAAAUACCACAGAAGAGAUCAGGAAAUAGAAUCAUAUUCGCACCUGAGAUUGUAGUGACAGUCUCCAAUAAGGUAGAGUUGUCCUGCAUAAGAACUGUUAUGGAAGCAAAUCAAGUAGCUGCUGUCACAAAAAAGAGCAGCUUUUAUGUCACAAAUCCAGCUGAAGAAUCAGCACCAUAGUGAAUAGAUAUUGACCCCACCUGAAGGAACAAGAAGAUAUUCUUUGUGAGUUAAUAGAAAAAACAUGGAACUGAAGGUGAAUAGGAAAUAAUUAGAGAAGAUUUAUAAUGAUCAUUACAAAUUAAUUCAAGAAAGUUGGAAGAUAAUUUCCAUUUACCCCUUGACAAGAAUCCAACUCUAACCUUCUGCAUUUUUGUGUGUAGUGUCCGGUGUAGCUUCCCUGAACUUCAUCCAAAUUGGAGACAUGCGAAACAGCUUCCAACUGAAAAUCUUCAAGACCUCCGACUCAGUUACAUAUAUAUUUGUGUCAUCCUUUUGAUGUUUCUAACCUUGUUGCAUUCUUCCUUUAACUCCUCACUGCAGUCCCAGACCCAGAAAUCUCUCAGGGCAGGUGGCAUGCCACACUCUGGCAGUGACUUAAUGCUCGGACAGGACUUGAUCUCUAACUUGCUAAGAGAGCUCAAACGAUGCAGAUCAUCCGGGAGAGACUGGAGAUUCUUGCAGGAACCGAUCACCAUCUCUUCCAGGGAAGGUGGCAGACGCUGCUCUUGCAGUGAAAGGAUGCCUGUACAACACAAGAUCUCUAACUUCCUGAAGGAGUGGAGACAAUUCAGGCUUGCAGGUAGAGACUGCAGACUGCCACAAUCACUGAUGUGCAACUCUUCCAGGGAAGCUGGUAGGGCUACUUCUUCCAGUGACUCAAUGCUUUCGCAUGAUUUGAUUGCUAGCUUCUUGAGGGAAGGAAGGAGAUGCAGUGUUGCUGGUAAUGAGCGGAGUUUAUUGUAGGAGUUGAACUCGAGCUCUGUGAGGGAGGUAAGGAGUAGGAAAACUUCAUUUGGAUCCUCCAUUGUGGAGUUGCUGUCUUCAUCAUCUUCAUAAAACAGAAAGCCUAGCCUCCCAAGGGACGUGAGAAAUUUACAACUGCAGCUUGUCAGCAAGGAGAGAUCAUCUGUCCAGAUCCUUUCCAGUUGUGGGAAGAAAAGGCCAUGACCUACCCUCUCCAGCUCUUGCAUUGCAGGACUCCAAGCACUCCAAAAGUCAGGACUGCUGUAAACUUGAACAGAUCUCAAGUUGAUGCAUGUUUGCAAGCCUUGUACAGAAGACAACGCUCCGCAGCAGUGGAUUCUUACCUCUUCCAGUGCCGUGCACGAGUGCAGAUCAAGAGAUUCUAGAUCUGAGCUCUCGGUUAUGCCCAGGUCCUUCAAACAGGUGAGGCUUGAGAGCGACAGCAACUUCUGAGUAACACCAUCAAGCACCAGUUCUUGCAAUGAUGGUGGAAGGAGGAUGUUUCUGCUCAAGCUUCCACCGUCUUCCUCCAUCUCUUCAGGCAUCAAAGACGACAGGAGCUUGGGGCAGUCUCCAAUCCUUAACUUCUCAAGGGAGAUGAGCCCUCCAAGUCCUUCAAUGUUUCCACAAUAGAGUUCUACGCAAUUUGUGACAUAUAACUCCUUUAAAGAUGUCAAUGAACCAGGUGAAAUCAGCACCAUGCACUCAUCAUCUGCUGCCCCUGCACAUUCACCCAUCUCCAGGUAGGACAGAGAUGGUAAAAGUGACAACACAUGACCAAACCAAUUCCCUCUGAUGCAGCAUGACUCGAUUGUAAGCGUCUCAAGAGCUAGCAAUGGACGAUCUCUCAUGUAGUCUUGCUCUUCUUGAGUAGCAGGCAUUGAGAGGAGGUUGGGGCAAUCGACAAAGUUCAAUUUCUUCAAAGACUUGAGUUGCCAGAAUGCCCCCGCCCAUGAAAACCAUGUGAGGUUUGAGCAGUUUAUGAGAGUGAGUUCGUAUAAUGUUCCUAGAUUAUGCAUGGCUAAGACUCCAUUUGGAGUUCUCAAUUGGUUACUACCAUGCAGGAUCAGUGUCUGAUAAUAUGACAAACUCUUAAACUGAUAAUAUGACAAACUCUCAUAUAAUGCUGACCCAACAUUUACGGUUGUCAUUUUCAAUACCUUGGGUCCAAGAGGAAGGGGAGGUAACGACAUUAGCAGGGGACAAUCAUGAAUGAUCAAACUGUAGAGAACAGGAAACACAUGAAUAGCGACAGUUUGGGAGGCAGAGUAACAUGACAGUGGAAGUUCUCUUAGUUUUGGGCAACCUUUAAUUUCAAGAACAUGUAGCUCAGAAGCUAGUAAUGGGAGAUCAUCCCUAACGAUCCACCUUUCUAGUUCUUCCACUUCCUCAAUAAUCAGUUCCUCUAAAGAAUGGGUUGACAUGUCCGUUGUACCGCAAAUUCUUACCAGAUGUAGUUUCUUCAGACACUUCAGGUGCACAAAAGGUGGUAGAGUCCUCAAAAACUGGCAAUCUUCUAAAUAGAUCGAUCGCAAACGGAUAAGUGGUGAAGCCUCUCCUAACCAUGUUGGAGGUGUAGCACUCCUGUACCCACUGAUCUGAAGAUGGUUUAGGUCCGGAUGUGGUUGAAGUCCCUCAAGUACCUCCUUUAUGGCAUCAGGAUUAGCAGACACCCUACUAGCAUCCCAGCUCAAGCACAAGUUUCUUAAGUGUUUUCUAUCCAGAAGCCUGGCAUUGUUUGCCUCUUCCUUGCUUUCUAGGUUCUCGAGGCCAAAAAUGCAUAGUGAGCCAAGCUCUAACAGAUUCCCCAACUGUGCUAUCCAAAAACCAGCUUUCUUUCUGACCAUGAACUGGCGCAGCUCUUGAAGAGAAGUUAAUUUGCUAACAUUUGAUAUCUCUGAAUGGCUUUCCUCAUGACAAAUGAAAUGGCGCAGGUUGACAAGAUUAGAGAAGCUUUUUGUCAAGUUAGAAAGAUGGCAGUCUACUCCUACAGUCAGAAAUUGCAAGCGGUAAAGUGCGCACAGCUCUUUAGGAAAUUGCCGAUCAAAUCUUUCAAACCAAGGAUUGUGUUUGUCAUUCUCUUGUUUGGUUGCUCGUAAAUAGCGAAGAUGAAUGCAAUGCCCAAAGCCAGAUAGAAUGUCCCCAUCAUCUUCAAAUCCUGAUAGCCGCAAUGUACGCAAAUUCUGUGUCACAUCGGUCAUAAAGUGAAAGUUCUUAACAAAUGUGGAACCAAAACUGCCAAAGAGCAUGAAGGACACGAGCUUGUUGGAUUGCAGUGAAGUCAAUUGAACCAUAUCUUUCUCAAAGUCUGAAUACUGUGAUGUAGCAAUUAUAGACAAAUGUUGAAUUGUUGGUGGCAUUUGUUGGCACUGAGAACCAUCCAUAGUAAAGCAUUCUUUUGAUGAAACACCCUGAGCUAGGUCAUGCAUCAAGUCAUGCAUUAGGAAGUGGAUAUCAGUUCGGUCUUUAUCUAGUUUCUCGAAGAAGCCCAGAUUCACUAAAUCAUCAAGGUAUUCAGACCCAAUUUCUUCAAGCCUUCUAUUAUCACUUGCAGGAUAUACAAACCCUUGAGAAAUCCAAAGAUAGACCAAGUCCUCUGCAUAAAUCUGAUAGCUUUUGGGAAACAAUGAACAAUAUGAGAAGCAUCGCCGCAGAUGGAAGGGCAGAUAGUCAUAACUGAACUUCAGAAUUGCUAUUAUACCUUCAGUAUCUUGAUGUGAUAUCCACUCUUUUCUCUCUAAAAUUCUUGUCCAUCGCUCAACACUGAUAUCUUUCCGCAGUAAGCCCCCUACACUUUUAGCUGCCAGCGGAUAACCCUUUAGUCUAUCAGCUAUUUGCCUCCCAAUACGGUGCAACUUCUUAUGCCCCUUUUCUUUACCAAAUGCAUAUGCUCUGAAACAGUCCCAGAAAGCUUCACUUUCAAGACCAUCCAAUGCAACAGAGUCCAAUGCACCAACAGACUUCGCGACAGAUUGGUUUCGAGUAGUCGCUAAGAUCGCAUUACCUUCCCCUUGCUGGUUAGACCUCAAUGGAGCCACAAGCUGGCUCCACUCGUUGCUGUCCUUGAUAUCCCAUAUGUCAUCUAAAACUAGCAAAACUCUGCUGCCCUUCAAUGCAUCUUUAAGUGCAUCCUGAAGAAUAUUCAAAUUUGCACCGCCUCCUUGGUCCAUUCCAGUGAUGCACUCUAACAUCUGUCUGGUAAGCCUCACAGCAUCAAAAUUCAGGGAGACACAUAUCCAAAUCUUCAUAUCAAAAUAGGUUUCUAUUCUGGGAUCACUGAACACAUACUGUGCCAACGCAGUCUUGCCAAUACCACCAUUACCAACAACAGGGAGAACCGUGAGGGUUUGGUUGCGAUAGGCAUCACUGGUCAACAACCUUAUGAUUUGAUCCCUCUCAUGGUCCCUCCCAAAUAUCUUCGUUACAGUGAGAUACGGGGUCGUCAAGCGCUUUGUGCUUUCAGAUCCAUGCUUUGCGAGUGCAAUGCCAUCAAGCUCCUCCAGCUUGAGUGCAUCACGUAUGGCGCCAGUGAAAUCCCCCAAUGACCUACUGAUUUCACAGAUCUGAGGCAACAGCUCAUCGCUGUUGAGCUCAGCUCUUGCCACAGCCCGCAUGAUGGAACGUUCAUAUGCAGGAACCAACGCACUGAUAGUACCUUGGUUAUCCACAUCAGCAGGAGAAACAAGACUAGAACCACCACAAGCAUCACUGUUUCCACCGCCACUACCUCUGUUGACUUCAUCAUCGUCACACAGAGAGUCAUCAAUUUCAUCUAGCAUCUCCUCAUCAGUGUUGAAUCCUGCUUGCACACGGAAGUAGUCGAUCUCAUCAAGAACCUCCUCGGCAUCAUAGAUCAAACGCUGCAGCUGCGGCAAGGACUGCACCAGAGCCUCAUUCCGGAUUUCAAUCUCCCGGGCAGCACCCAGCACCGCACCUGCGUUUCUCAGCUUCUCCUCGAGGGCAACAACACCGUCACCGAGGCCGACACGAGCUGCAAACACCUGCAGCGCGUUGUUGCCGGCUGCAACCGAUGGUACAAGGGCCAUGUUGUACAGACGGUUGCAAGAAUGAGGGAGAACCGGAGAAGGAAGGAGAGAUGGACAAAGAGGAAUGGAAAAAUAUAGCGAGAUGCACUAUCAAAAAACAAUACAACAUUGUUUAGGCCAGGUCGUCUGAGGCGCUCUGCAACAAAAGAACAGUUUUCUCGGAGGAAAAAAGGCGAAUAAACCAAAGUGUCCACUGGGACAAGUUGGCCAAUUAACAACUCGGCAGAAAAUGCUUGCAUAUGCAUAGAGACAGGGUCCAUGUCAACUCCCGAACCCAUCGCCAUUGGUAGUGGAGUAGUACUAAUUAACAAUCAGGACAAGCAGAAGAAAGAAAAAUGCCAAGAAACUCUACCGCUGCCAAUACAAAAAAAGAAAACACACACACCAGCCGCUGCUCGCUGCUAGAUCCUGUGCGCGCAACUGUUUGUUAACGGUCCAGGGAGAAGACGCUUAAGAAUUGCCGGGUCGAGAGAAAAUCUAACAAGAAUCCUCUGAGCGCAUUACGUCGAGCACGUCGUGGGCACUGGGCAGAGCACGUAACCGUCCUCGCGGCCGCCGUGAAAACCGCGCGAUGAGCUGGUGUAGAUUUUCGAGAAGAGAUUGAAUGCAUGCAAUGAGGACGCACCUGUAGAGGAGCGAGUCGAAAGAGCUUUUGCUUGCGCGCUUCCGACGCCAUGGCCGCCGCGAACGCGCCGGGAAGAAGACGAUGUGAAUUCGGGCCACAGGGGAAACAGAAAAUGCUCGGGCUGGGCUAGAUGGGCCUCAUCAUUUUAUAGUUGGAACAAAAUGGGCCUCAACCGAAGCACUCCUACACCCCGACUCAUAAAAAGUUGGACUAAUAAAAGCUGCUUGAUUCCUGGAGUAGAAAACAAAUUGGACCGGAUUUAGUUGGGCCAACAAAUGCGUAAGCCUAGUUACUCUAACCUCUCGACCCAAAGUGUUAUUUUUGUCAUUGUUGCUGGUUUUAUACCUGGGCAAAGCUCGGCCCGGCCCGAAACCCCAAAAAUAUGCCAUUUAAACAUUAAAGUAAUUAUUUUCGAAAUAAAUAAAUAAUUUUUUAUACCUAUUUUUUCUAAAAAAAUCCUCGUUUUUGAUCAUUUCGGGCUUUCGGGUCGGGCUUGGGACUGGAAACUGAGGCCCGAGCCCGGCCUGGGACGUCGGGCUUCGGGCCGGGCCGGCCGGGCCGGGCCACCCAUACCCAGGUAUAGCUGGUUUUAUGUCCCAGCAUGACACGCCGGCUUACACGUCACCGAAUCCCGAUUGCGGAACCUCAUCUUUUGAGUACCUUGCCCAUGACCUCGCAGGCCUAGUGUCCUCUCAACUAACCACCAAUGACAAGCUUUGUCGUAAUGUUGUUGUCCACUAUGGACCUGUGGAGCACCGGGUGCACUCUUCGCCUCCGUAGGUGUCGUACGAGAGCCGGCAGAGGGAGACCUUCGGGCUGUCCAUGAUGUUGGGGCCAAAGCCACCCUCGUGUUGCAAUUGGGAUAGGUGGCGUGGAAACCAGUGGCGUGUCAGGAAAACCAACAACAUGGACAAAAAUACCGCCUCGGUCCGAGGCAGGGACGGAAUGUGUUCGGUUUUGAAACUUGGAGGACGAAAAAAUACGGAAAAAAAAUUAGGGGAUGAAGCAUUAAAUUCACGACAGGUCGAGAAACGAAAAAAAUACUUUUCUCUAGAAACAAUUAUCAAGACUACAUAUCAAGGUGAGAUUAACUCGAUCAGUAAAACAAGAAAGUGACAAUCAUAACACUUCGUCAAAAAUUAAAACAAAGACUACCCGUAGAUUCUGCUAUGAAAGAUAAACAAUUAACUACCUCCUCUUCAGGUGCGUUACAGUUAAGUAUGUGCGAGGGAUACUAAGUAGGAGUAUGACUAUUGGAUCCAACACAAGACCUGGGUGAUCCCCUGCAAGAAGGAAUGUCCAAGUUGGGCUUAGCAGCCAUAUGAUGGACCAUUUGGAAGCUGCCUAGCCGAGUCAUCGGCACCUCAAUUUAAGAAAAUCAUUCAGUAAACUACAGUAAGUCAGUAACCAUGUCAACUCCCAGUGGCAAAUGACAAUACAUACGCACAUGGAUAACUGAAGUUACAAAUGAAAUGACUAAUCAAUAAUUGUGGUUAAAUACUGAAAAAUGUCAGCAGAUGCAUGCACAGACUGGACAACUGGAAUGACUUUGAACAACUGUUAAUUGGUCGAGUCCUAUAUACUGUAUACUCUAUCAGUUCCCUAGCAAAAAAGGUUACAUCGUUGGUUACAAAAGCGCAGAGGAAUUAAACAAAUGAACAACCAAGCAAGUUGAUCGUUCGGAUUAUAUCAAUAUAAUGGCAGUGACUUUGAUCCCAUGUUUUUAAUUAAUCAGACUUCGAUAGAGUGAAUUACACAAAAUCACCACGCGUAGAAGACAUCGUAUCACAUAACCAUGGGUUUUUGCUAAUUUUAUCGCAAAGCCACCAACAUUCAUGCAAGUUUUUUGAGUAAAUUUCAUAAAACCACAGUUUUUGUGAUAGUGGUCUCACAAAACCACGGUUAUUUGUCAUAGUCUCACAAAGCCACAACUUUUGGGACAUCCGGUCUGAGAAAACCCUAAUCUGAGUAAUUAAGGUGCAUGAUGGUGUUUCCGACAACUCAGGACCACCGAUCAGAUGCCACGUCGCCCGCCCCGACCCGUUUUCGACAUCCCUUGAUUUGAGAUGGAAUCCGCGAGAGCCAGCGAGGUGUUGAGAAGUUAGGGUUCAUGGCAUGGCCCGAGUUGUCGGAAAACCGUCAUGCACCUUAAUUACUUAGAUAGGGUUUUCUGAAACCGACUGCCCCAAAAGUUGUGACUUUGUGAGACUAUUACAAACAAACUUGGUUUUGUGAGACUGCUGGCACAAAAAUUGUGGUUUUGUAAAUUCCCUCAAGUUUUUUCAAAAUUGCACUCAUUUCGUCCUAAACUGUCUGAGGGAAUUUCUGACCGACGAGGCCCGCUUGUAAGGUUGACACCGUUUACGGGGAAUAAGAUCCUGCUCAUCUUCUUCCUUGUUGGCUAAGGUAGCCUGCAUAUGGGAAGGGCGACUCGACUCUGGCAAUGACCACGACGAUUCCACCGCCGGCCCUCAACCUCACCGCCUCUUUCUCCCAUCCAUGCAUGCAUCUUCCACCGCUUCGGCUGCAGCAGCCGCUUCCUCCUCUGCCUUUGGUAAUUAAGCCCACAAUUUCAAUCAAAUUCAGGAGGGGCCGCCAUCGACCGCUUCAAGGCCAAAUGUAGCUUCCGCGUCUCCACUUUUACGCCCUCUUCUGGAUCCGCCACUUCGUCGUCCGCGUUGUUCCCAUUCUAUCUAGCUUCACCUGCUUGCUUCCCCAUCGCCAUGGAAUCGAUUUUGAUUCAAACCGUGAGAGAGACCGGCGUGGAAGAGAUGCGGGAGAUGGGCAAGGCAAGGGAGGAGCUGGCGUGGGAGCUCCACAGGGCGCCGAUGUUUUUUUUUACAGCACGGAACGACUUUGUUAGUUUGACUUUUGGGCGAUUAGCACGGUCGUGCUGUCAACUUAACCGUUCCAUGGCACUUGAUAGGUGGGGCCCGCAUGCAAAGAAACCCAUCAAACGAGUUUAAUCUCUGUUUUGGGCCAUUUGAGACCGUUAGACUUAAAAUGUUUGGUUUUUCGGACAACAUAGCAAAAACUGUGGCUUUGUGAGAAGACUACUCCGAAAAUCAUGGCUCUGUGAAAUAUACUCAUGUUUUUUUGAUCGGUUUGGUUUUCUCAUGGAGCCCAACCUAGUCCUAUGUUAGGAGUAACGACAAUUGUCGUGCCUCUACUAGUUCUCGUGUCGUCAGUGACUUUCUGAGUCAACCUCAAGACUCCACGACACUUUGCUGUCGAUCCCGGACCGUACGCAACUUCCCAGGCAUCGACCGACCCUAAGAUUUCUCGAGUAGAACCCAAGAGGCUUCUUCCUUAGGUCUGUUCACCUUGAAUUUAUUUAAGCGAAGAUGGAUGAGAGUACAUGACAAAGACCAUGACUAUUUUUGGUGGAAGGAAAAGGAAAGGCAUAGAGAUGAGUACCAAUAACGAGACGCAUGUGGUGACUUCAUUGACCUCAAAGUUUGCCGGCUUGGAUAGAAGUGGGCUGUCCGUAUGUACGUGCUUUCAUAGAGGCGAGCGUACGUGUGACCGUCCGUACCAUGUUUCUCAAAUAAGAAUGUAACACACAAAGCUUUCCACUUGGAGAAAAACAAGUCUGCUUUUGUACAUCAACACAAAUACAUUCAAACGGAUCACAAUUUGAAAUAAACGGCACACGUGAAAGUAUAUAGUUGCUGCAGUGGGAAACAAGAAAUAACUUGAACCGAAGAGCCAAUGAGAUGUGGGUAUUCACGACAACAAAGCAGCAAGAAAACCAUAAAACACAUAGAUCCGGAAGGGAACUACGAUUCAGCAUGGCGGCACGUUGUGUACUCGGAGCGUUGCACGCAACACCAGAUCCUCCUUCCUCUUGGCGACAAUUCCAAAGGCCUCUGUCAUGUCUAAAUCACCAGGAAUGCCGCCAUAGAAAGGAUGAAAUUGCCAAAGUGCCUCAAAAAUGUGCAAAAGUUCACGGGAUGCCUAGCAUCGCUGAGUCGUUUCGUUAGUUGGCUAGGUGAAAAGGCUAUGUCCUUAUACUAGCUGAUGAAGAAAACUGACAAAUUUGUGUGGACGCCACAGGUAGAUAUAGCUUUUCAAGAGCUGAAGAAGAUGAUUGCUACGGCACCGAUAUUAGCCUCGCCAAUGGAGAAGGAGACGAUGUUAUUAUACAUAGCAGCAACCAACCGAGUCGUUAGUGCCGUCAUUGUAGUGGAAAGAGAUGAAGAUGGCAAAUCGGUCCAGAGGCCGGUAUAUUACUUGAGCGAGGUGUUAUCGUCGUCCAAGCAGAAUUAUCCUCAUUAUUAGAAAAUGGCGUACGGCGUUUAUGUGGCGGCAAAGAAGCUAAAGCAUUACUUUGAGGCAUAUCAGAUCCGAGGUAUAUGUGAGGCGCCCGUCUCGGAAAUCAUGAGUAACAAAGACGCGAGCAGCCGAGUCGCAAAAUGGGCUGUCGAGUUGGCACCCUAUGCGCUGCAGUACGACAGACGGGAUGCCGUGAAAUCUCAGGCUUUGGUGGAUAUCUUGGUGGAUUGGGCCGAGAUGGAGUAUGAACCACCGGCCCUGGAAACUAACUACUGGAAAUUACAUUUUGACGGCUCUAAGAUGAAAAGUGGGCUUGGUGCCAGCAUAGUUCUGACCUCGCCAAAGCGCGACCAACUUAAGUACGUAUUGCAAAUUCACUUCGCAACAUUUAACAAUGUUGCCGAGUAUGAGGCACUUGUGCACGGACUAAAAAUGGCGAAAGAAAUUGGAGUUUGCCGGAUUCAGUGCUUUGGUGAUUCCGACCUGGUCGUCCAACAAGCUUCUGGUAAUUAGGAUGUAUUGGAUGCCAACAGGGCGCUAUACCAGUUUCAUGUUCAGAAGAUCGGUGGCCACUUCGAAGGGUGUGAAUUUCACCAUAUACCUCGGGCGGAAAAUGAAGCAGCCGAUACAUUGUCGAAACUCGGCUCGACACGACAGGCUAUUCCAGCUGGGGUGGCAUUAGAGCAUUUACGCAAACUAUCCAUCAAGCCAUCACCAGAGUCGGAGUCGAUAUUUGUCCCGGCAGGUUCAGAGGCCGAUGUUACCCCGAUGGGCAUUGACAGCGGGAAUGGUUCCACUAACCCGGGGACUGAGCGCCUUAAUUCGGCAGAAGCAAUGGCAGUUGAGCCAAUGAAGAUAGACGAGCCGGAUGAGCCAAUCUUCAUCACUCGUCCUGUGCCGGCUUGGGUGCAACCGAUAAUGUCUUACCUCAAAGAUGGGAACCUCCCGGAAGAGGAAGUGUUGGCAAGGCAAAUCCAGAGAAGAGCGAAGGCUUACACCAUCAUCAAUGGUGAGCUCUACAAGAGGAGCGUCACUAACGUCCUACAUCGGUGCGUCGAGCUGGAAGAAGGGCAAGAAAUACUUAGGGAUAUUCAUCAAGGAGAGUGUGGCCAUCACGCGUCUUCGAGAACGCUAGUGGGCAAAGCUUUCUGACAUGGUUUCAACUGGCCGAGUGCACUGCAGGAAGUGGAAGACAUAGUCAGGAAGUGUAACGGCUGCCAGAGAUAUGCCAGCGAUUCAUAUGCCGGUGUCUGAACUCAAAACUAUUCCAAUUACUUGGCCGUUUGCUGUUUGGUGUUUGGAUAUGGUGGGACCGUUCAAGCGGGCGCGAGGAGGCAUGACGCAUAUACUAGGCAUGGUCAACAAGUUCACCAAAUGGAUUGAGGUCAAGCCGAUAAAAAAAAUGUGACGGCAAAACCGCGGUGUCAUUUCUGAAGGAUAUCAUCUUGAGAUAUGGGUACCCGCACAGUAUCAUCACGGAUAAUGGAAUGAACUUCGCGGAGGGACCUUUCAUGAGAUUCUGUGCGGAGAAGAAAAUCCGGCUAGAUGUUGCUUCCGUAGCACAUCCUCGAUCCAAUGGACAAGUUGAAAGAGCAAAUGGCAUGGUUUUAGCCGGCAUAAAACCUCGGCUAAUCGAACCAUUGGAGCAUACUCUGGGAUGCUGACUGGAUGAACUCCCGGCUGUGCUGUGGAGUCUCAGAACGACUCCCAAUCGCUCUACAGGCUACACGCCAUUCUUCCUUGUAUACGGGGCGGAAGCUGUCCUACCAGCCGACAUUGAACAUGACUCUCCACGAGUAACCAUGUAUACGGAGGCCGAGGUAAAAGAGGCCCGAGAAAAUGAUGUCGACCUGCUCGAAGAAGCACGGGAAUUAGCUCUAUCUCGGUCGGCCAUCUAUCAACAACACCUAAGGCGUUAUCACAGCCGAAAGGUCAGCCCGCGAGUAUUCCGGGAAGGAGACCUUGUCCUCUGACUUGUGCAGCGCACAGUCGGCAUGCACAAACUAUCACCUCCAUGGGAAGAACCCUUCGUUGUAAGCAAAGCGCUCCACAAUGAUUCCUACUAUCUUAUAGAUGCACAAGAUCCCAAGGCGAACAUGAUGGACCGGUCAGGUGAGGAGACCAAGAGGCCAUGGAAUGUAGCUUUGUGUCGCACUAGUGGCACCCGGGUUACCACCGCUGCGCGACGCGUGGCCCCCUCCCCCGGGUUCCCGAGAAGGUCUCAUCCCGGGGAGCACCAACGAGCUUCCCGGCAAGCUACCAGCCCGAAAGGGGCUAGCGGGGCUUCCGGGAGUAUUCCCGAUUAGGCACCUCCCGGGAAGCUGCUUCCCGGGAGGGGGUUCCCGGGCGCGCUGGGCCCGGGUGCUUCCCGGGCCGACUUGCGGGGACUGGAGGUUCCCGGACGCGUGCCCCCGCCUCGGGUCGUGGGGCCCACUGGACAGCGCCACACGGGCGCGUGGCGGGCGCGGAACGUGCGGUCCCACCAAGGCAAGGAGUAAGGCGCGCGGCUCAGUAAAUGAGCCGAUCGACGGGUAGUUACCCGUCGGGUCGAAGGAACAGUGGUUGUCCAAUCCUACCCUAGGGUCUUAGGCCCCUAGCAGCGGAGGUGGCACCCAUGCAUGCCACCAGCUCACCAGGGAGAGUUGCGUGCCUCCCCGUUGGACACUUGUAGCCCAUGCACCGUGGCACAUGUGGCAUCCCCUUGUGUAUAAAAGGAGGACCCAUGCCAACGGUCUAGGGGGUUAGAGAGGGUUGACGGGUCAGACAGUUGGAGAGGUUAGUCAGCUGGUCAGUUAGUUGGUUCGGACGAAGCUCGCUCGAUAGACGCUUACUGGCUCCAGUAGGCAGCCAGCAGAGAGUAGUGAGGAGUGCCUAGCCACUGAGAGAAAACCUGGGAGCUUGCCCGGCAACCUGUAAACAUUUGAUCCGUAAUCAAUAUCAGCUCAGACAGGCAGGACGUAGGGUUUUACACCUCCGGGUGGCCCGAACCUGGGUAAAAAACGUGCGUACGUCUGUUCUUGGACUAGCGCGUACCCUUAGCACUUUGCCUCGCCGGCCCUGUAGGGCCUCAUCGGCCGUGCCGGCGAUCAUCUGGUCCCCACCCCAGACGCCCCUACCGAACCUAAAAGGGGGACGUGGUUGCACGCCCCCGGUGUCGGAGCACCGAGCGACGACAGUUUGCUUCGUCCGUUCUAUACUUGAAAAAUGAGUAUUUGUAUCGUUUUUUCCUUAUGAUGAAUGUUUUAAGACAAUGAAAUUAUCCGCCGGGUUCUUAAAAGGAACUCGGAGACUUCCAUAUCAUUUAAGUGCUGUGUUGCAGUUAUUUUUCGUAUGUCGGCGUGGCUUAGUUGCGUGAUCUUAUGUCGAUCUAGUAGUGUGUCGGUGUUGAAAAUCCCUCUAUGACUUCACUACUGUCCGCAACCCGACUUCAUGGCAAGCUGGAGACGGGUAUAAAAUAACCGAACACAUGAAAAACGACUGCGGAAACAAGCAAUGAAGCGAUCCGAGAUACACGUUAUUUUAACUCGGCUUUUUCCUUGUUAACUCGGUUAUUGCCGAGCGAAUUCAUCGAGUUACUUUUUUCGAAAGAGUGGUUUUAUUACUUUGCGAUUCAUACGUCGAACGCCGGCAAGGCAGACAAAAGAACCAAAGUUGUAAAAUUUCACUAAAAAAAAUGAACUCAGGGACUCGGUUGGGAAUUCGAUAAACAAAAAACUUAAUUAAAUUAAAAGCAUAAUACUUGGCAAACAAGAGUAUUUCGGAUUACAUAUGCACCCGGCAUUCCGGGGAUCUGACAAUUCUAAGGUUUUUCUAACUAAGCUAAGAAGAGACGGCGAGGUUGGCGCCGGAGCUCGGCGCAUCAUUCGCGGUGGAGGCCGACUGCACAGCAGCUUUUUCGUCUGCCGCUUCUUCGUUGCCCCCAUCGGUCAUCUCGGCCUCGGUGUCGGAUGUCGGGCCCUCCACAAACGUAUGCACGUUGGCAUACUGGAUGAAGGAGUAGGCCCGCUCCUUGCGCUUCGCCACCAGCUCCGGGUUCGUGAGAUAGCCGACACGCAUCGACUGCAGCACGUCGAGGUUGAUGCCGUCGUACCAUGAUAGUACGAACGACAGUGCCUCGUCGGUGCCGAUGCGUGCGGCCGAUUCCCGCCAGUCGCUCAGCCGGGACUACGUUUCCCGCAAACGCUUCGCCAGAUCCGGGAUCUCCGUCGGAACUUCUUCGCGGGGCCACAGCGCGCGGAAGGUCCGGAGGCCGGCAUCCAACAUGUCGACGUUGAAUGACUUAAGUGGCUUGACCCGGCUCGCAGUGCUCACCAGGUAGUCCACCAAGUCGUACUCCCACGGCUCCCCCGCCGCUGCUGCCGGAUCCCUUUUUUGGCGGGCGAUCCUCAUGGUCUCUUGGGCAUACUCGAGGGAUGAGGGGAAGAACUCUGGCAGAGAAAAAAGAAUGGCAGUAAGUCUCGGCACAUUAUUGCUACUACUCAAACAAGCGAUUGGAUGAAGAAAUUUCAACCAAGAUAACUUACUCGUCAGCAUGUUGUCGAUCUUAAUGAGUUCACGCCGGACGACCUUGAACAGCUCGGUCUUCUCGGCAUCCUCCAACUCGGCCGUAGUGGCGCGGGUCUCGAGUUGAGCAACUAGGGCCUUGCACUUCUUCACCUCACUUUCCAGGCAAAUUUUUUCAUUCGCCUGUGAAGAGAGGGCCGAGGUGAGUUGACUCACCUCGGUUUGGUGCACCUCGGCCUGCGCCGCGAUCUGCGCCUGCAGCCGGGUCACCUCUUCCCGAUGCUGCUCGGCCAGCCGAGUCUUCUCAUCUGUUUAACAAACAUACAGAGACUGACAUCUAAUAUGAAUGGAAACCGCGAUAGGGACGACGAGUUACCUUGGACCUCGGCGACACGCUUCAGCAGCUCCGCUACUUGAGCAUUGUCCCCGGCUAUUAACGAGAGCAAGUGUUAGUCCUUGCAGAACAUUGAUACUCGGACAAAGAUUCUAUUCCGGUAAAAUAUACUUACCCUGGCUUUCGCGCUCAGCUUUCAGCGCCUUGUGCUCCGCCUCCAACUUCUUGUACUUUGCUAGCAAAGUCUUGAAGGUGACGGUGCGCUUAUUCAUGCAGAGCUACAAAACAGUGAUUCACAAUUAAGUUUAUUGCAGCAGGAAAUUAAUGGUUGAAUCUCGGGGAAUAAGUGUUUGAAAUAUUCUAAGCUUCAGGCCGACUAUUCUAAAACCCGGCCUAAAUCUCGGAGAAUAAGUGUUUGAAGUAUUCUAAGCUUCAGGCCGACUAUUCUAAAACCCGGCCUGAAUCUUGGGGAAUAAGUGUUUGAAGUUUCUAAGCUUCAGGCCGACUAUUCUAAUCUCGACCUGAAUCUCGGGGAAUAAGAGUUUGAAGCUUCUAAGCUUUAGGCCGACUGUUCUAAAACCCGGCCUGAAUCUCGGGAAAUAAGGGUUUGAAGUUUCUAAGCUUCAGGCCGACUAUUCUAAAACCAAGCCUGAAUCUUGGGGAAUAAGUGUUUGAAGUUUUAUGAGAUGAGCUUCAGGCCGACUAAUUCUUACUCGCCCUAAACCUCGGGGACUAGGAGUAUGGAUACUAUGCUGAAUUUAGAAGUUAAAGUUUUCUAAGGAAUUCCUCGUACCUCGGUGGCUCGGCCGGUCUCGAACAAAGCCACCCGGGCUUGGUACAUCCGGGCCGAAACCGACUCCGGAGUCGCUGCCGGUGGUGGUCCCACCAAGGGGCUCUGCCAUGCCGACUGCAAGGUGCUGGAGGUCACCUCGUAGUGAUCGGCGUUGUUCCAGUCCAUGACGAACUGGCUCAACGACUCCCAGCUGUGCCCGCUGGUCGUCCGAAGGGGAACCUCCUGCUGCCUGCCGGAAGGCCGCGGGCUAGCGGAACCCGGAGCCGCCGACCCUGCUGCGGUAGCGGGGCCUUUAGCCUUCUUGGCCCAUGUGGCAGCAAGUUGGGCGUCCUCCGGCCGCGACGGAGACGAAGGCGGCUGCGGCCCUUGGGGUUCCUGAGGACCCGUCGCCGACUGUUGCGGCGUCUCCGAGGCUGGUGGCUCCGUCGAUGUCUUGACUGCGGCCGAGGAAGGGGCAGCCUCGGUUGUCGAGACCUCGGCCGCAGGAGUCUUGGUCUGGCCGACGAUCGUGGUGUCGGCGCUUGGGCCGACAUCCCGGGUGGGGGAUGUCGGAUCCGUGGCGGUCUCAGUCUCGCCCGUGGCCGGGUUUGAAGCCUCGGCAUGAGAAGAGGGAGCCGCCGGGAUCUUAGACGCAAUGCACGUUUGAGAUUGCGUGGCUGUCAGAGCCUCCCUGCAGAAGUAAAAGUUGGUUGUUUAACAACAAAGAAGAAAACCGAUAUCAGCGGUUGAAGCAAGAUUGGUCUUACCCAACGAUCAGGGGCUUAGGCUUGGGGCCACGCGCCGCAGUCUUCUUCCGCUUCACGUUCUGGAGAAGAUCCUUCUCGGCGGCACGUUUCUUCGCGAUCGCGCGUCGUUCUUGGGCCAGCGCCGUGGCGGCGGCUGCACCCGAUGCCUCAGCGGCAGGCUCGCCCAGAUCGGCUAAUUCCGGGAUAGAGCAAAAAUAAGUACUUUGCUAACAGAUGGUGAAGAAAUUACGAGAGAAUAACAGAGACCCUUACAUUCGGUACGACGAGGGCCGGCAUGGGGGAUCGGCAUGAAAUCCUCCGAAUCCGGGACCUCAGGGUCAAUGGACCUGCACGGGGCCGCGAAGCGCUUGUCCGAAGAACCCCCAUCUUCCUGUCGCUGAAGGGAGAAUCUCUGCACAAAGAAGUCAGAUUGAGCCGGGAUAAGUGUACAUCAGACAAGUGCCAGCAUAACUAUAUAUCGGAUAUGAACACGAGAUAGGUAAGGGCUAAGGCUUACCGGAGGAGCGCGACGGUCCCGGGCGUAUGCCGGCACACCCCACGACCAUCACUCCGACAUGUUCGUCUUGGCGAUCGCCUUGACCCGACGCCGAACUUCAGCGUGAGAAAACUUGAAGGUUGACACCGUAUCCGGGUCAAACUGGCCGCUGUAGAAACACAUCUUGUGAAUCCGGCACUGGAGCGGGCACAGUCACCGGUAUACGAAAGUGGCCAGCAGAUCGUCGGUCGUCAUCCCUUUGUCCUUGAACUGGAGGAUAGCAGCGUGGAUCUCGGUGACCUCCGGGAAGGUAUCCUUCGGGUCGUAAGACCAGUUUCUCUUUUCCUCCGGGGGGCCGAGUUCGAAUCCCGGCAGAUUGAUCUUGUCGGCCUCCGAGAUGUUUUUGAUAUAGAAAAAGGUUUUGAGCCAUUUUUUGCAUGACUCAAGACUCUGAAUCCUCGGGAAAGCCGAGUUUCGGUGAGGAACGAUGGUGGCGGCACCGCAUUGAGUCAUCGGUUUUGCGGCGCCGGGAUUGUCCUUGUCCGGGAGAACCUGUGGCCGGAACAUGAAGUACCGGGACCACAGGUCGAUGGAGGCCAAAGGCCGAGGUAGCCUUCGCAACAAGUGACAAAUGCCGAAAGAGUGAGGAUGGCAUUCGCCGGAAGGUGGUGCGGCCGGAGGCCAAAGAAAUCAAUGAAAUUCCUAAGGAAAUCGCUGGCAGGAAGAGCGAAGCCGCGUUCAAAGUGCAAAAGAAAAACUACGCACUCACCAGCCUCCGGAGUUUGCAUGAUUUCUCCGCCGGGAACCCGGCACUCGACCUCCUCCGGGAUCCGUCGGGAGCGGCGGAGCCACGCAAUGUCCACCGGAGUCACAUCAGAGCCCUCCCAGGCGGCAUGCUCGGAGCUGGCCCUCUCCUCCGCCUGUUGAGCAAUAGGGUCGACAACGGGGUUGCGGGAAGAAGACGCCAUUGUUGGAGAACAGAUCUAGGGUUUGGAGAUUUGGAGAAAAUGGUGCUUGCGCGAGGCUCGGGCUAGCAAGCUGAUGCGGCGGAGACCCAGAUGGGUGCGAGCGAACCGGCGGCGGCGAGCUUGGAGGCGAGAAACCACGGCGGCGGGCGAGCUCAGUGCUAGCAGUGGCGGCGGAGUGCGCGAGAAGCGAGAAGACAGAGGAAGGAGAAGAGUGCAAGGAGUGCGAAGGGUUUUCUGCCUACGCCCUCCUCCUGUUUUUAUAGCCGUGGCACAGUAAUGGGGUGCGGGUUUCCCGUGCCCACCACCUUAGUGGCUAACGGGAAGAUUGUGCACGAUUUGGGGCAGUUACUCCCAUCAAAGCGCAUGCUUGGUUACUGCGUGGCGUGCUGCCGAGAAUCCCGCAAGAUCCGGGAGGAUAAGUUUCUGCAGGUGUUCCCGCAAGUCCGGCGUAACUCAAGCCUUAUCCUCCCGUUGGUGUAAAGAGUCUAAGUCACAGGUGGCGUCUGUAUCGCAGGAGUAAGUUUUCAACUGUCGGUCAGGGAGAAGAAAGAAUCCCGGCUAAGGGCUGGAUAAGCGCGCCAACCCGGAAUGUCGGAAUAAUUUGAUCUCGGCUAGGAAAACCUGGGGUUGUCUCGGCAUCCCUCUCGGCUGAACCCAAGUAGGCGUUGGUGGUCUGUCUAUGGAAAACUGUCGCGACCCGACAUUCUUCUUCGCCGAACCACAACAGCUUCGGGGACUAGUGUCGGGGGAGUGACCCCGAGUAGGGUCAUGGCGACACAACUCUAGCCGAGAUGACGGAGGUAAAGCCGGCAUAGUUAUGUAUGCCGGCAUCGUAAAGCUAAACUAACGCUAAGCCGGCAUCCCGGGUGUAUGCCGGCAUGGCUAUUUUGUCUUAUGAGUUUGCAGGAUAAGGACGAGCACCUUGAUCUCGGUGAUAGCCGAGAUCUUCCAACGGUCCUAUCCUGACCACGCGGUGCAAAGUAAAGCAAAGUCAUCAUCAUCUCAGAAAAGCAGUCAGCGCCUUCGUACCGACGCCAGACGACUGCAGAGAGGAAGCACCGAAAGAGAAUCUCUGACGGAAGCCGGCAGAGGAUAGCGGUACUUUCUGCGGGGUGACAGGGAAAAGUAAAGUUGUCUUGUCCCCUAUGGUGCUACCGAGAGGGAACCAAGCCGUCAGUGUGACAUGGCUGGCCUAUAAAUAGAACCUCACCCCUCUGUAGAAGGGAGGAGAGAGCACUUAGGCAUUUAGGGUUUUCCCUUUUUCUUCUUCUUUCUCAAGAAUACAGCUCAAGAAGCGCCAUGGUAGGAGCUUGUCUAUCUCGGCUAAUACAACAAAACAGGAGUAUGCGUCUUACCUCGGAAGGAGGGCUCCGUACCUAGGUAAAUCGGUGUGUGUUUGUGAGUUUGUGCAUGUUUCCUUUCACGUCCUCCCUCCUCCACGACAAGAAACGUGGUAACACUCUGUAUCUUCUUUCGAUUCAUGUAAGAGUUCAUAUUUCUUCAUAUGCCCUUUUGUGCCUGCCAGGUCGGGCUGCUGAAGUAAGAGAGGUUGGGAAAAAAAAUCAAGUUUGCCAUAGGGGCUUGAAGGUCAUUUCACAUGGCAUUAUUGGGCUCAGAAAUUGGAUAAUGCUUUAAGUAAAAGAAAAGGGCGUAGUAAAGAGGUGGCAUAUGAUAUAUGGUGGCGUAAAGAUGGGCACACCAUUAAGCUGAAGUAAAAGAGGGCAUAUGAUCAAACCCCCCUGUCGGCUCUACCAGUGCUGCUGCCUUAGCUAGUUCCAGCCUUUUGCGUUCAAUUCUUCGAGAUAACCUGGCACCCAGACAGGGCUUGGGCUCCAGUUUUCUGCCCAAAAGCCCGAAAUAAUAUUUUUAAGAAAAUAGGUAUAAUAAAUCAUUUUAUGCCCCCUAAAAUGAUUAAUUGAAUAGGUUUUAAUGCCAGAAGGAUGUUUUAUCAGGGUCUCGGACUGGGCUGGGCCAGGCUGGGCAUUUUGGUGCCGGGCUUUGUGAAGCCCAGCCCUGCCAGGGGUUUAUCCAGGUAUACUUUUUGUCUCGAUGCUUAUUUGAUAAAGUGCCAUGUAUGCGAUGCAUACUGUUGGUAAAUUUGAACUUGCAUUAUUUCUGCUUGAUGAUUCACCAUGAUGUGUUAUGCAUAUCCAGCUUGAGAUGCAUUGUGAUUAGUACUGCACAGCUCAUUCUAAAUAUGUCCAUUGGUUUGGUAAAUUGAGGAAAAUGAUGGUUCCAUAUGUUUUGAGCAAACAUAAACUACCAGUAGCAUGUGCCAUGUUCAUGGUCCCAUGGCGAUGGAAGUCAGAAUGAUUGUCAAUUGUGAUAUAAACUUUAUAUGAUAAUGCAGUUCUGUUAUCAUCAAAAUAUCCUUAAAUAGACAUGGGAAUGACGUGAGUUAUUUGAGCUUGGUGCUUUUUGCAGUUUAUUUCUUCUCAAUAGUGUGCUCAGAAUUCUGCAUUACAUAUAAAGAAUAUUGCAGAGUUCUAGCAGGAAUUGCUACAGGCAAGAAAAUGAUUAAUGAAGCACAACACACUUAUACUCUUGUCUCAUUAGAUUCAUGAUGGCAAACAUGAAAUAUUUCCGUACAAUAAAAGUUUCAUCAAAUAAUAACUAUACCUAUAAGCAGCUGGAUCUUGUCCUCUUUUCUCAAUUCUUUAUAUGAGAUAGAUAACUCGUGACUCCAGUAUCAGCUUGAAUUUCACUUCCAUAUUAAGUGUCUCUCUCUCUCUAUAAGGAUUGGCUCUGAUGGAAUUAUCUGUUUGUUCCUGUCCUGUAUAUGUUCACCCCGUCUGAAUCAAUGCUUCGGAAUCAUGGGGUGCAAAUGACGGUGGGUGCAACUUUUGGAGAAAUAAUGCACAACCUGCUCGGCCCUUGCAUCGGGGUCCUCCUCCUUGGGGGUAACAUUGCUGAUAUCUUUCUUUGGUAUGUUUUAUCUUCUUUUCUACAUUCACUAAUGCUCGCUCCACGGUGCGUGUCUAAUAGGUAUCCUCCUAUUGUUUUGCAAUUGCUGUGAAGCAACUAUCUGCUGAACUGUGAUGUGCAACUUGAUACAGUAUUGUCCCUGUCCUUAAUAAAUUAAGUGCCAAGCAAGAUUGAUCUGGACAGCAUAUUAUUGCCCUCACAAAUAUGUCUCCGCAGUAAGGCUGCUACUGUAGAAAGAUGGACGCAGAACACACAUUCCUUUUAUGGUGGGAUUUGGCGACACGCGCCUGGGGGCUGGGGCGCUCUUCAUCCAUCAGAGUCUGUGGACACAACACAAGCCUGACAGUUUCGAAGUGGCACUCGCUGGAAGCGAAGAAGCCCAUGCAGGUCUCAUCUCCAUACUGAAUGGUGGUGGCAGGGGAUUAUGCAGGGAAAGCGCCUCAUACAGGCAUGGUUACCUUCUCAUAUCCUCUUGCAUUAUUAUUUCAAUAAAUACCUGAUCAACAUGGCAUUAUUUUGCACAUAGUUAGUUAAUGGCAACAUGACGCUUUAGUUUUGGAGCAAACAACCACAUGAGCUCUGUCAUAACUCAAAAGAACAUCUUUGGUACAUUGGAUAGGAGAAUCAGAGAUGAGAGAACUAAUGAAAGCCACAUGUAUGUUUGUGUCUUGCUAUUAUAAUAUAUUUUCUUGCCCCAAAGCUGAUCACUGAAAUUCUAACCUGUUUUAGGCAACCUUAUUUACCAUUUUGCAAAUAUUUUCUUGAUUUGCUUGUUUGAAUAAGAAUUGAUGUAACUUUGAACAUCCCGGUUCGUAAAACAAGAUUGCAUUGAUCUGACAAGCAUAUUUGAGAAAAGGCAGCAAAAACAUCAGUAAGAUAUGAAAUUAGUUAGCCUAGAGGGAAGGAUGAGGGGGUCCAUUCUAACUAUUGUAUCAUCCAAGUAGACAAAUCAAUGAAGUGAGUAAUUUGUAACAAACAAACAAGAUCAUAUGAAAAUUGAGAUGUUAGCUAUCUACGACCAAACUGUUUUUUAGGCAAUCACCUGAAUUCAUUACUUCAAAGAGAGAGUUUACAAGAGUGAGGAGAGGCAGUCACGAUCAUGCCACAGACCGGUGGCUAUCUUUUGAUCCGUUCAUGCCACAGACCGGUGGCUAUCUUUUGAUCCGUUGAUAAAGACUUUGGCGAUUUUUCCAAAUAUUCCAUACCACUAAAAAGAAUAGCACCGGUUAAAUCCUGAAAUAAUCCAAGAAAUGUGACACCCAUAUGUCAAGUCCAAGAAAUGUGACACCCAUCAUAUGUCAAGUCUAGGACUUGAACCUGGGUGGGCUGAUUCCACCACAAUGAACCAAGCCACCUGAGCUAGGCUCAGUUCACAUCUUUGUAUUGAUUCUGUUUUGGCAAUGUAGCAUCCAAAGAUUUCCACCCGGUUUGGCACCCUAGAGGACCAUACAUGAAGGGUGUGAAGGUCGUCCGGAGCAUGCAACAAAGCCUCGUAAGCUCCUUUAUUGGUGACUGAGAAGCCGUCCAACAGCGAUGGUUUGUCCGGCGGAGGCAGAAGCUGUACCUGCUGCAACAAAGAUCACAAAGAAAAUAGGUCGGCCCAUCCGCUGAGGUUACUCUGUUUCGGAAGCCGAAAUCCAGUCCAUCUUGCAUGAUCUCAGCAACUAGGGCAUGUUGGCAGGGAAUUUAUGGCAAAUUGACCAAAUGAUUUUUUCAAGGUGAAAGCUCUGGUUUAUUAGGAAAGCAAGCGGAGUACAGUAAACCUGCUACUGGACUCUGGCUACCACAAAUAGCAUGCAGCACCUCUGCCAGCUAGAGAUGAUUAUUCAGUUACGCACCUGAAGUCACUCCUUGUCUAUGCCAUAAUAUGUUCCUAGACUUGGUGCUGCAAUCUGCAAUAAUCUUGAGAAUAUGAAGAAAUUGCAUGAAUAUGAAAAUUACAUCUCUUUGAAAAGCUGGAAUGAUGAACAUAGUUGUACAGGGUCCUCAAAGAAACAUAGUUGUAUAUGUCAAGUACCUAACUAACUAAUGGAUUUCAAUUUAACUCGUGUUCUAGUCACCUGCAUAACCUGUACUUUGUCAGCUGUGGAAGAACUAAGACUCCUAGCUCUAGUCCUGUCCGGGGGAUAAGCUUGUGACAGCUCGUGUACCCAGUCCAUACUAUGUCUCUGAGAUGACUACUUCGUUAAAAGUUUGCACAUGCAGUCAGGCCCCAAGAGGCACAUGCAGGGUGCCACAGUUUGAUGAUUGGGUUCUCUCCCAAUCAUUCACUACAUGUUGCGAUUAGUAAAACUGAUCUUUGCUUAGCAUGAGAUAGCCACAAGGGUGGUAUCAGUGAAAGCAUUUACUUCAGUCUAAUCAGGCCAAGCCAGAAGCAACCAAAAGUCCAUUCUCUUGUCUCCUGGAACAUUCAAUUGUUGGACUAGUAUAUUUAUAUAAGGCCAUGCCUUGCAUUUGAGGAUCUGAACUACUGUCCAGCUUUCACUUCUGACUCCGGAUUGGUUCUAGAGAGAUGGGUCUAAAGGUAUACAGUUCGCUCAUGCGGGUAUACAAUUUGUCAGUGUAUACUUUAUGCUGCAAAGUACAGGUCUUUUGCAGUUUAUGCUUCUCUCAAAACCAUGUGUAAGAUUCAAAUCACUGUUCUUUUAUACUUCUAAUGUUGAGUACAUGUUCUUGUGGCACAACCAGGUAUUCUGUUGGCUGAAUCGGAAGAUACAUUCUAAUGUUGAGUACUGCACCAUUGAUGAAAACAAAGGUAAGAAUGUCAGGAGACCUAGCUUUUAUGUGAUCAUAUGUUUCUUUGUCAUCAGCCUUUUCUUUUCUUCUUUUUUAAACGGAACAGCCGUGGAGAAGGAAGACUCUGUGCGUGGGUGUGUGACUGAGCAAGACACUGAAGCCCUGUUGCUCCGUGAUGUACUUCUUGACGGCAUACUUGCGAUUGGCACGCUUGGUUACAAUGUUAAUUCCCUUUAUACUGAGGCCUUCCCUGAACAAGAUGAGUUCGCCAUCGUGGAUAGGGAGGAAGUGGAGGAAGAGAAGCAUGAAGAGGAACAGAGUGGUGCCAUCGAAGACACAUUGGCUACAGCUACAAGCGAACCAGCACCUGCUGUUGAACUUGCUAGGAUGCACUCGUCGUUGAUGAUGAAAGAAUGCAACUUCACGUGUUCUGUUAAGGAAGGAAUACUGGUGCGUGAAGUUGAAGUGGAGGAUGUCACUGAGAUCCAGGAACGACCCCUUCUGAUGGUAGAGAAGGUAGAGAAAGUGAGAACUACACUUGCUGAUCUAUUUGCUGCAGAAUCACUCUCAUCAAGUGAUACUCCUGGGGAGAAGAAUUACCAGAAGGUCGUCGCUGUUGCUGGGGCAUUCACUUCAAGGCCUACAUCCUGCAUGGAAAAUAUGCAUCAAAACAAGCGAACAAAGCCAAAACCAAAGCGACUGGAUGCUACAAGAAAAUUAAGUCGAGUAUGUUUUCUUUGUCUCUAUCUUAUAUGUGUUGCAAUUAUGCUUGCUUUAUACAAAGUUACAAACAUUGACAAUAGUUUUCUGCUCCAACCACCACCUUUAUAUUCACUGACUUGGCAUCAAUCCACAUUACUUAAAGUUCAACAUACAUAAGAGUGAGAAACCCUUAAAUAGUGUUUCAUUUCAUAUAAUUAUACUGUCAGAGCCUUUACUAACUUUGUAGUUUGUACUAAAUCCAAGACACUUAUUAUGGAUCAGAGGGAGUUUUUUCUGUAGACAUCAGUAAGUCCCCCCACAGUACAGCAGUUUGUGAGAACUGUGUUGCCUUAUAUGUGUCAUAAUAAGUCCUGACCUUGUAAAUUCAUGUUGGCUUGUCAUGUUUUACUAUCUCUUACUAGCCUAAAAGUGGUUAAGGCUUACCCUCACUUUACUCCAUGGACAGUCUUUUACCAGAUGGUUACAAUUAGAUUAAGCAUUAUUUAUGCAUCUAACUUGAUAAUAAAUGAUCGCUUACCUGCCAUCAUUUGUUGGUAUUGGCUGUCUUUCAAAAUAAGUAGGUCAUGAGAAAGAUGUUGGGGAAGAAGAUCCACCCAGAUCAGCUCAAUGGAUGCAGCGAUGCAGAGGGUUCUCUGAUCACUGCAUGACGCCUAGGCUCGCGGACAAAUUUGAUUCUCUCUGGUAAUUUACUGCCUGGAGUUUACCUUUUCAUCUGCCCUUUGAAUUAUAUAGAAACUCUAAACCGAGCUCAAGGGUUAUCAAAUCAACAUGCCUAGGUGUCUUGAACGGUUAUGUACCGUUUCAAGGUUUCUUGGAUUUUCUUCCUUGGAUCCAGUUUAUUUAUUGUAUAUUGAUUUAUGCUAUUUCACUGGGAAUAGAACAUGUGCAUUUUGUCAACUUCAGUAAGGUGAUUGAAAUAGACGUAGGGACUAGGGAGUACACAGAAGUCAUUGCCUAUAUCAGGUUGUUCCAGUGUCAGUGAAAAGAAGCAAUACUGUGGGAAAAACAUAUCUUGACAAAAAUAAUCCUGCCAUUAAACUGAUGAUAGUUUAGGUAGAAAGACCGAUGUAAUUAAGUUUGAGUGCUUUCUAUUGUUUUUGAAACAGAGGCAAAAGCUUUGCCUCGUCUCAUUGAUUAAGAAGUUCUGACGUCCGGUUAGUUAACUGAAAACAGUCAAAAACUGAUACAGCACUCCUAUGAGCCAUCAUGUUCCACGACAGCAAUGGUGAUGUCCUUGAUAUAAAUUACUUUUUCUAUGUAUCAUUGUAUCUCUGAAUCCUAUGGUGGAACGUACUGCCUUUGGUGGGAAGAAUGACACGAGUUGAAGUGUUGAACACACCUGGGAACACAAGUGAUAAUACGAAUGAAUUUCUGCUGCUAGAAACUAGAGAUCGUGGGGUCGGACCAACAGGGAUUUCCCUACGCCAUGCUGCCAUAUCAUGAAGCUUCGUUGGACCGAAAUGAGCACAUAGUCACGGGCCCAUGCGCAAAGCAUUAAUCAAUGCGAUUGCAACAGCGCAGGCAUGUGCUGAAAAACGCUAGCAGACAAUUAAGGCUACAAUUAAGCAACUAAAAUCACCUGUUUGAUGAGUCUGUCCUGCAACAGUUAAUUUCCUGAAAUCUUAACAAGCUGAUGGAUUCGUUCCCAACCGUGUGGGCUGCUAUAUGAUGGCCAAAUUAGCAAACUUUUUCACCAUGUAUAAACUUCUUGAGCAUGUUCUCUAUCCAUCUAGUUGAAGUUUUAUAGAGUUUGAAGUUAACACAAAAGCUUUGUCCUUUUUUGUUAAGUUAUACAAAAUUUAAUUAAUUGUAUGUAUUUUAUGCAUCAUGGGCAUUUAUCUAAGGGGAGCAACAUGCUAAGUUGUAUAAAUGUUGAAGUUAAACACAAUAGCUUUGCCUUUUUUUUUGUUAACUUGUACUACAUAAUUAAUUAAUUGUAUGUAUUUUGUGCAUGCAUCAGGGGCAUCUAUCUAAAAGGGGAGCAACAUGCUAAGUUGCACACCAAAGCCAUGCAUGCUGCCCAUUCUUGAGCACAAAACGUGCAACACAGUGUUAGUCGGCAUUACGUCCCCAUCCCAUAGGCUUAACAGAAAUGAUUUUGCCUUUGCAGGAUCCCUAUACAUGCUUCGGAUUCCUUUGCUUGAGAGAAAGAUCCAACAGCCUCCAUGCUUCUUGUCUGCUGGCCAGCGAUGAAGAUAAUAUGUAUGUUGAGUUGCAUGCCCCGUCAGAUGUACUCUACAGUUGGUGUAUCGAUCCUGCAAUAUGUUAUGUAGUCAAGGUGUCCUGCAACAUGUCCCCGUACUGUUUUGGCCAGUGUUGUAUCAUUUGCCGACUGUGUUUAAUAAUAAAACAAAACUUACGCUUUGCUUUUGUCCACUCGUAUGCAUUGCACCGCGGUGUAACUGUCCCAUUGCGAUAGGUCGGCACCACCAGGCUUCGCUGCUCUGUAUUGUUUUAUGCUUGAUAUUGUAAACAUUGGCAGAUUUUUUUUAUAAAAUUGAUGAGACUUUAUAUCUUUCUGAUUUAGGAAAAAGAUACUCUUUCUGUACCGAAAUAAGUGUUGUGGAUUUCGGACGGAGGAAGUAGAACAUUUUAUAUCUAGGAACGGCGAUAGCAGACUUGAUUGAAGUUUCAGGACUAGUUCAUUUUAUAAACACAAUGGUAAAAUAAAAGUUUAAAUUGUACUCCUAGUUUGAACCAAAGCAAAAAAUUAAAUUCCAAACUUGAUCACUUUGGUGAGGUUACCGAGGCCGCCUUCUUUUCAGCUUUUGGAUAGCUUCGAAGUCUCAGGAAGCCACCGGCUGAAAAGAAGGCAAAACUUUUUGGACGCUUAAUCCCUAGCUGCUGCAGCUUCUCGCAGUACAAAAUGAGAAGACCAGCUUCUCGGGUUUCUCCACAUUCCAAAGGAAAAAAAAACCGCACCCGCACCCUAGCCUCGAGCCCUCAACCGCCGUGACCCGCACCCAUCUCUCCCUCUGAUUUUCCCUCCCGCUAGGGUUCUCGGGCGAUGAGGGGCGCGUGGCCGCUCCCUCCCAUCGCUCACGGGAACCUGCCAUCGCCGCGGGUUCCUGUCGCCGUCGUCGCCCAACGGUGAUGCACGAUGACAACUUGGUCGAGGAACUCGUUAGGUUAUAUCCGAGUCAACAAAAUUGCUUUAAAAAAAGUAGAGUAAUUCAUUAGGUAGCUUAGCUACGUGCUAACCCUCUUGUCUAGUUCCAUCCUUUUUAGCAUCUUCCAAAAUCCAACUCAAAAAGAUCAGAGCUAGAAUCAGUAGUGUCCGAACCACGAUCAUGGCCGCCUCCCACCUGAUGACAAUCACUUGACGACGACGAUGCUGCUGCAUCAUCUUCAAAAAUCUUGCAGUCAUGGAGAAAGAGACGGCGCUCCUCCUCCUCCUCCCAAGCACCACCGCACCUCACCACCCACCUCUCCUCGACGUCGCCAUUGACGACCCGAACACCCCGCAGCCUCCUAUCGCCCACCACCACGCCCAAAUCAUGUACUCCUACUCCGGCGAAAGCAUGAUCAGCCGUUGGAACAACAACAUCACUGCAGAUGCUAUUGCUCCCACGCGAGGCGCUCGUCGACGAUGAGGCGGCCGGCUGCAGAUUCUUCUUGCGAAAGCUCACCGCCGGCGACACAAAGAAGGCGGCGGCGAGGUUGCUCUUAUUAGGCCGAGCUUGAGCUUCUAGCUCCUGCUGUAAUGUGCCGCGGUGGCCUUUUUUCUCCCUUCUCGCGGCGACCGGGCCGGCGAAGUAGCGCGUAGCACCGAACACGUCGAGCUCGCCGGACCUUGCGCGGCGCUGCAUUAUGAAUUGAGAUGUUUGAGAGCCAAGAAGAAGAAGAAGUAGUUCGUGACUUCGUGUUUGGGUGUUACUACGUACUAGGUGCAGGGGUAAAUAUAUAUCCGGAUAUCGAUGUACUAUGUUGGUGGAUUAAUUAAUCCCAUGGCUCAGAGAGGGAAAAUUAAGGAGUUAGCUUAAUGCGGCACAGGAGGCGACACGCUUCAGCUACUACAUCCAUUCCAGCCGUGUCAUUUGGCAAGAAAGGAAUAUAUGCAUGGGUCUAUAGUGAUGAAUGAAAGUGGAGUUCUUCCAAUUAUCUCAUCAAUGUUGUAGGGGGAAUAACUAUGUUGGAGUCGAUAUCUAAUAUGAAUACGGAUGUUGAUCGGUGUGGGUGACAGGGACGAAGCGAAUAAAGUGCUAGCAGUUAACGGAUUUUCGGUGGAUGUAUAUCUCUUGAGAAACUGAAUUUGUUUACGACCAACAUAUAUAAUUAACACGGAUCAGCUGAUUUCAUUCCGGCUGUCAGGCACACGUACUCUUCGUGUGAGUGUGCCUCGCUGUCGGGCGCGUGCAUGCCGAACGACACCACAGCUUUUAAAAAAAAACAUAUGGCUUUAUUCAACAAACAAAGUACGAGUGCCGUGAAACUGCAAGUGCCGUCGUCGGGGAAGUCGAAAGCAUAUAUUAGGCUAAUGGGCCGGGUCAUGUCGGGUCUGAAGAAAAUAUGGAAGUGAACCUGGCAUUUUUGUCACGUCGCAUCUGACAUGCAGGUCCGCAUGUUUGGAUUCUAUGUGAAACGUUCUAAACCGGUAGGUUUGAUUUAUUUGAGAACACCUGCCUCAAGAGUGGUGGUUACGUGGAAAUAUUAGGGUCGAGUGCGGCUCUGUAAAACAUCAACAACAAAAUGUGCGCCAUUGCCCCGUCCUUUCUUACUGUCGGUAGACUCUCUUCUUUCCCUGUGGGACACACCAAUGUGUCAGUGUCAUCAGGGAUGCAGUAAACGACAUCUUCCCCGUUUCUUAAUUACCAUGGUGGGACCCACCACUUGCCAUGUCAGCAACUCCACGGGAAUAAACUUUCUAUUCCAAUUUUGGUAAAUCCCCUUCUCAUCCGGCUACCACCGCCAUCCUCGAUCUCCACCUCCCUCGCUCACCUCAUUAGCGCGUGCGUAUUUCGCCCCUAUCUUGCCCGAUCACUUCUUAAAAAAAAA
rnacentral:lncRNA from 1 species